GAGAAUGCUUCCGACGAAGAAUACAGUGAGUGACGCUGGUGGGAUUUGAAAUUUCCCUAUGUGACGGUUCAUGGUUGUGGCUUGUGAUACUGAAAAUGUUGUCAUUUGGGCAUAUACGGUCCAAAAUAUAACAGUGGUUGCCCAUAUAGGUAACAUCCUUAGUACCAAUUUCACUUCUUCAACAUCUGUUAAUGUAGCCAAGUUCCAUUUAUUUGCCUGAUCAUUAAGAGAUGGGUCCUUGAUAGCUGCCCUAUCCAAGAAACUGUAUAUAGACAAUUUGAAACCAAUGAAAAAAUAAUCAGCCAAUAAAAAAAGAAAAAGAAAAAAAAAAAAGGGUUCUUAUCAACUUUUUCAAUUAUUACACAACCAGCCGGAAUUGAUCAAUUAUUUCCCAUUUCCAACCAAACACGUUUAGAAAAUUUUAUUUUUCAGAUAUCAUGAAAUGUCAUUGUUUCUUGUCAUUGGAGUUUGAUUUUGAUUGUUGAAGACUUUAAAGCUUCAUUACUAGUCUCAUUAAAAUGGUGAGGAAACGUGUAUGUUUGGCUAUGGAAAUAAACCUACAAAAUCAAGAAAAUUUCUUGAUAGACCAAAUCAAGAAUUAAUUGUGUAACAUAUAAUAUGUUUAUAAUAUGUAAAAGUAUUAUGGAUUCGUUACAUGUCACAUGUUAUUUUUUUAUUAUUUUAUCAACUACAUCAAAUUUUAACGAUAUAAAUAAGUAAAAUUUUUAAUAAAAAUAACUAAUUUACUCUUUGAUGUAAUGUAUAAAGCUUACUAUUUUUAGUUUAAUGUGAGAAAUAAAAAAAGUGUGAUGGAAGGCAAGUGAACAGGCUUCGGACAACUAAAGCCAAUGUGUCUUUAAAGUAUUUUAACUGGGGAAGGUUUAUUGGUGAGGAUUAAUUGGGCGACAGUCUGGCCUAAUGUUCCAUGAUCUCUUUUUUAUUUUAUAUAAUCGUAUGUCUUCAAUAGUUUUACGAGAUUAAGUUGAAGUGAUAUUUAAGUAAAUCCAUUUCAUCAAUAAUGAUAUAUUUUUCAUGAUAUAAAAUUUAUUGUCUGUUUUUUGGACAUGAAACAUGACACACAAAUAUGUUUUCCAAAGUAAAAGUUUUAUAAAUAUUUUUGUAUUAAGAAUUAAAUUAAAUUAUAUUUUAUUUAAAAAUUAGUAAAUUAGUUUUUAUACGUUAAAUUAAAGAAUAAACAAGUUCUUUCAGUUAAAAUUUUUAAUUAUUUCUAUUAUUAAAAACCGGUGUGGUUAACAAAAUAAUUAGAUAAUUACAUAUAGUAUGUCACGUGUACCUCAUGUUGAUGUAAAAUGACCAAUUUUUAACAGUAAAAAUAGAUAAAAGUUUUAAUAAAAGAAAAAAUCUACUCUUUAAUCUAAUUUAUAGAGACUAUUUAUCCAAUUAAUUGUCACCUAAGCUUGAAAGGCGAAGAUAGCGGUUGUAUUUGGAUUCGUGAAUGAGCUAUAAAAUAUCAUGAUCAGGUGGGGGGGGGGGAAUUGAGAUAGGGUUGUCAUUUAUAUAUAUCCACAAGCCCUAUGAAAUUUCAAUAAUUCUACUCUUUGAUUGAUUUCAUAUACCCAACUGAUUGAGGAUAAUCUAUCAUAUUGGACCCUACCAUAUGUUAGAUGCUUGGCACCUAAUGUUAUUUUGGGAACAUUAACAUUAAUGCUACUAUUAAUUAACUAUAAUAUUUUGAAUCUUUAUCAUAUUCCAUUACUUUGUAAUCUUAUUAUUAGUGGUCCCCUUUCCCUUAAUCCUUGGUUCACUACUCUAUGCAUUAUGCUACUCUAUCCUUUAUAUAUGUUACCCUAAAUAGAUUCAAUGUUGAAAAUCAUUAACUUAAUCUUUAGUCUUUUCAUUAUUUAGCAUCCCUUUGGAUGAAUGGUGGAAAGGUAUAGGUUGAUUAAUUGUAGUGUUUUAAGUAUUACGUUAGAAAAAAAAAAUAUUUGUUUGUAUGAAAAGAAAGAUUAAUGAAAAAGUAUUUAAUUAUUCCAGUAUAUAUACUGAACUUUAUGUAUAUUCUUUUAAUUAUUUUUUAGUAAAAGUAUUAUAGAAAUUUUUAUAUUAGAAGUCAGGUUACGUUUUGUUUUCUAUAUGCAAUAAAUAGACAUAGUAAUCCUUUUUAUUUUUAUUUUUGUUUCUUUUCCCUUUUAAUGAAUCCAUCGUCAAAUAACAUAUGGUAUCUGUUAACCAAUAUGCCAGAUUGAUAAUUUUUGACCAAAACUAAUAUCGUCACGAAUCAUCUGAUUAGCUUUUAAAUUCAACAUGAACUGUUAAACGAGUUUUUAAAUAGAUGACUAACCGGAACUCUUUGGUGUGGGGCAAUUUUUGUUUCUUCUUCAUCUUCAACCCCUCAGCUGCAUCAUCAAUAUUGAAAAGCAACGAUGGAUCCAAUGGCAACUCCAAAUGCUUCUUUUUCCAGGCAGCUACGAAGACUGUAGCAAUUUGGGUCAAUGGGCUCCCCACCAGUUUCUUAAACCGGUACCUCUUUGUACCCGAUAGAAACACCACUAACCCUAUCACAAUAGCACAAGCACAAAUGCCAUAUCCCCAUUCACGUCCUAAAUUGUCUUGGAUGUAAACCAAAAUGGUCACUGAACAAAGUGAACCUAUGUUUAUGAAGAAAAAGAACCAAUUGAAGAAGUUGGUCAUCUGGGAUUUUUCUUGGGGGUCCGAAUCAUCAAAUUGAUCCGACCCAAACCCGGAAACACUCGAUUUUAGACCUCCAGUCCCAAGAGCUGUAAGGUAAAGGGCUAAGUAGAGAACAGUGAGUUGGAUGCCACUUGCUGGGGUACAUAUUGUGGCGUUGUCCCUUGUGCAUUUUGGUGGCCUUAGGCUUGGGAUUAUUGUUGAGAUUGUUAAGACGGUUACACCCUGCGUACAUGAUUCAUACGAUACUAAUACUUUAAAUAAUUGAACUUAUAAUUGUUUUGCUUCACUUGUAAAGUAAAAUGAUGAUAAUGAUCUUACUGUCGCUUGAACGGUGGCGAAGAUUCCGAUGGUGAGAUACCUUCCAAGGAAUGUAUCGGCGAUGAAACCACCGAGUAAACAAAGCAUGAAAGAUGUGCCGAGGAAGUUGGUGACGGUGGUGGCCGAGGUAGCAUUGCCUAAAUGCAUGGUUUCCGUUAAGUACGUCACUAAGUUAACAGCUAUACCUAAAGUUGUUAACCUCUCACAUGCUUCCACACCUGUGAGACAGAAAAGACAAUUACAAAUUGUUUGUUUGUUUAGUGUCUAAAACUAAAGCCAUAAAAAGACUCAAAUGAAAUGAUGAUGAUGAAAGACGAACCUAGAAUCAUGGCGGCGCUGGUCCAGCCACCGGUGGUGGACCUCUCGGCGGGAUGACCCUUAUAGUCCCAAGCAUCGGGGAGGGUUUUCCCUUGUGUUAUAGGGAGGGACAUUGGUUGAUAUAUAAGGUUAAAAUGGGUUGAAGAUCAAAGGAGAGAAAAAGAGAGUGGUGGUGGUGAUGGUGGCACAAUGCGAGCAAAGGGUGGUGGUAGGUGUAUUUAUAGUAACGAGUGAACAUGGAAGAGGCUUUAAUUAAUUAGACACGGAUUACAACUACUCAAAAUUGCAUUUAAUAAAAUAUGUUUUUCAUGGAAUUAAAGUUAAAUCAUAUAAAAUUUUUUUAUGUAUGUGAACUUUAACCUAAAUCCAAAAAAUUAAUCUAUUUAAUAUAAAUUUGAACAUAAAUUUUAUCUAAUCAUUUAAUUUAAUCUAUUCAAUCUGAAUUCGAAAAUAACACGAAUUAAAAAUUAUUUAAACUCGAAAUAAUCUGAAGUUGAAAUUACCCAAAGUUUAAAAUGAUUUGAUUGAAAAGCUAGACAAGUCUAAACCAAAAUAACUUAAAUCUAAAACAAUAAAAAUAUCCAACUAUGAUUGAAACCUUAUAUAGCCUAAAUUCAAAAAGUUUUAAAACCCAAAUUAACCCAAUUCAAAAGUAAUCCCAUCCCUCUCUAAAAGAAAUUACAAGAUUAAAAUUUGUUAUUAGUCUUUCAACUUUGACAAAAUUUGAGUGUUUUAAUCUGUAUAAUUAAAAAAUUUAAGUUCUAUUUUUUAUUUAAAAAUCUCAAUCCAAUCAUUAAAAUAAUAAAUAUUUUCAAUUAAAAUUUAUUAAUUUUAUUUAGCUAUUCUCAUAUUACGAAGUAAAUUUUUUAAAUUGAAAAAAGGAAGAUUUACCAACAACAAAUUUUAAUAAAAUUAUAAUGUAAAUUUCCUUUUCUUUAUCUUCUUGAAUUCCAUUGCUAAUAAUACUUGGCUGAUUAAUUGUGUUUAGAUGAGAUGAAAUCCCAUUCAGGAGGGAAUGACAGCUCUACCCAACAUUAUAGACUUUUGUAGGACCAUGUUUAUAUCAAUGAUUGGUAAUUAUAUAAACUUCCACUAACACUUGGGAAGUUGAAAUUUGGAAACCAUGGUUAAGAAAUAAAUUAAGGUGAGUUGAGGGGAUUUUCUAAGAGGUAUCCCUUCAUUAUUUGUGUCCACGUCAUCUUAUCUAGAAAUUUGAGUUUUUAUUUUAAAAUAAAAUUUUAAAGCAUUGAAUAAUAAUAUAUUUAGAAAAAAAACAUUUAAUACUUACUUUAUUUUAAAUAUAUAAUUUUUAUUUUUAAAUUUGUUUAUCGUUAUAAUACUGAAAAAAAGAUGACCGGGUUUAAAUCUGUAUUAUUUAAAUAUCGGAAAAAAGUUCAAUCUUUAUUUUAUUUAAAAGAAUGAAUUAAUAAAAAAUGGUUAUUUAAUUUUAAGUAUUUUACAUUAUAAAUAUUUUUUUGAAGGGAAAGGAAUUUAUUUUGCAUUAUAAAUAUUAAGAAAAUCUAAAUCUUCUCCUCCUAACCACGAAUAAUGUAAAUUUUUCCUCUUGCUCUCUAACAACAAGCAUUUGUGUACGUGCAUGGAAGUUGGUAUACGAUCAUUUUAACUUAAUAAUUAGUACAUUAAAAAAAAACUUAAUAGUUAGUAUAAAUGCUAUUAAUUAUAAUAAUAAUUUGGCAUCUAUUCCUUAAUUUGCUAGUCUUUUUCCCUUUUUUUUAGUGGGAAUUAACCUAGCACACCAAAAGUUUGAAAGCCUUGAUUUCCACAUGAAUAUAAUGUUUUCAAUUGUUUUCAAAGAUUUUAAUUGUAUAAUAAACAUGUAAAUUAUUAAUCUUUCUACCUAAAGCUUAAAUUUUAAUUUAUUUUUUGGGAAAAUAUUUAUAUAUUACUAGUGGAGUUUUUAAACUUCAUAAACAGGGUUAAGGAGUUGAUAGGCGUCUUACACGGUAUAGUAAAUUAUAAAAAAUAUAUUUUUAAAAAAUAAAUGUCAAUUUUUUUAAUGUUGCUUGUGGAUAAAAAAGUACACUACUAGUGUAUCAAAUAUUCACCCUUAUUUUUUUUGGUAAAAAGUAGUUUUCAAAUUUUUUUCUCAUAAAGGUUCACUAAUAUUAAAUAGUUUAUUAACCUACAAGUAGUUAGAAGAAGUGGAAGUGGAUUUCUUCCAUAGGUAUUUGGACCGAGUUCGAAUUAUGGAGUUGACAUUGUUAAGAGGACUUUACCUUAAUACCAUCCUAGGCCCGAACAAGACCAAUUAAAUAAAAAUUUCAGUAAGAAAAUAAAGCAAAGGUUUGUUUUACCUUGCAGACCAAUCAUUAGAAGCAAAAUGCGUCAAAUGAAAUAAAAGAUCAAUCUUUUCAUCCGAUACUUAAUUUCUAAUCAUUUUAAGUUUGCUCAUAACAUUUGUGAGACUUCCCAUAAAAACAAAGGGAAAGACUUCCUUUUCAAAAUUUUCACAUUUUCCUUCAAAUCAAAUCAAAACUUCAACUCUAAACUUAGAUUUCUUUAUAAAAUCAAGUAGGAAACUUGAUUCCAAACUCAUUUCCUCCGUAAACAUCACCAUUCAAGCUAAGGUUUAUGGUGUUUCUAGUGAGAGAAAUUAUGAUUAGAGAGAGAAAGUUCCAUUGAAGUAAGAUUUAGUUUUUUUCUUCCUCCCUAACAUGAUAUUUGUUAUGAGUUCUUAUGAAAAAACUUAGAAAGCUUUUUUAUUAACAUUUUGGUAUAUUUUUAAUGUAUGAAAAAUUAGGUUAUGUGGAGAAUGAAGCUUUUGAGCUAUUUUGAGCAUGGAUUAAAAGUUAGAGAGGCAUGAUUUUGUAUUUUAGAGCAUCCAAAAAUAAGUAGACUUGGAUAAUUUUCCUUCUUCUAUAAUAAUAUGCUUAAGAAAUUAAUGAAAAUGUAUUGGGAAUGUAAAAUUGAUUUCAUAUUAUAUAUAAAUUCCAUGGUUUAAAUGUGUUGAUUUAAAUUGUUGAAAAUUUGUGAUGAAAUUUUUUUAUAUGUAAUGUCAUAUUAACUAAUAUCGUGAAAAGAUAAUUUGUUGCCAUAUAUGACCGCUAGACGUGUUGAGAAUAUGUUAAAUUGUGAAAUAUAAUAUAAAAGUGGUAAUAAGUGAUUAAUGUGUUGAGGGGCCACAUUGGGAAAAUUUAAUGAUUAAUAUGUUGUUAUCACCAUUUUGAUAAACUAAUGAGAUUGAUAUGUGAUAAAUUUUACACAAGUUAAAAAUGGAAAUUUGAGUUUGUAAAUAGGUCAUAAUGAUCUCUUGUUGAAAUUUGUUAUGAAAAUAUUCUUAAAAGAAGGAAAAAUGUUACCUAUGAACCAUGGAAAUCAUUAUGUGAAAAUGAACAUGUUAAUAUGACUUUGAUUAAUAAGUUGAAAAUUAGGGUUGCAUAUGUGAAAGCACCUAAAGUGCUCUUAUGUGAAAUAAGUAUAUAUAUUAGGCACUCAAUGUGCCCAUAUAUGUGGUUAGACAACGUGCCGUCUAAUAAGUCUCUAAAUAUGUUUUUGAAUGAUUAAUAAUUGUGCCAUUUACCUUGAACGAUAUAAGUUAUAUGUGACUUUAAAGUGCCCUAGUAAACUUAGUGAAAUAGUUAGGAUACGAUUAACAUGCCAAUAGGGAUUUAUGUGUACCUGGAGUUUUGUUGCCUUCAGGCUUUGCACAUAUUACAUACACUUUUUGUUGCCUUUGGGCUAUGCAAUCAUAUGCAUGUUCUGAUGCCUUCGAGCUUAGCACUUCAGUGCUAUCUUUAGUGUGUUUGAUGGUUUGGCACUUUAGUACCCUUGGUGUGUUUGGGAGGGAUGUGGUAUAAUACUUAGCACUACGAGCUCCUUAGUGUGUUCUGAAGGGAGUCUUAUGUAUCUGAGUCAUUUCCCUAGUAUUUACUAUGGGCUAUGUAAUACCUUAAACCCGACCUAGACGUCCAAACCAAGUCCAUAGAGUUACAUUGGCAAUACUAGGAAAAUCACAUUUAUAAACACAGUCAAACGAAACCAUUCCACAUAUUAUAACUAUCACAACCAUUAGUUAUCUAUUCAAUCUUCCCAAACAUCAUAAUUUUGUAGAAAGCUGAAAUUACUACUAAUAAUAUUGAAAGAAAAGAUAAAUGGAUUGACCUAGCUCCUACAGCGUCGGCCCAUUCAAGCCUGAGAGCCACUUGAAAUCCAAUCAACAAUGAAAUAAGUUGUAAACCCAGUGCAUAAAAACAUUCGUUCAGUUAAAGUAUAUUUAUAAAUAAUUCUCAAAUUCCAAGUUCCGGUUGAGAUAAAAAAUAUGCAGUACAAAUUUAACGAUUCUAUUAUAUGACAGAAGCGAUUUCAGUUUUAGAUACAGAAAAAGUCAGAUCCAUACGCAGUGAUUCCUACCCCUAUCCGUUACACAUCAUCUCUAGCCAUCCCAACACACUAUUAAGGGCAUUUGGUACCCAACCAUCCCUGCACACCAUAUAGUGUCUGUUUGACAUACUUACUAAGACGCAAACUAACUGUUAGAUUAGAACGUAACAAAGCACCAGAUUCAUGUAUAUAUGUAUUGUGGCUUAGCCACUGAUUCAGAGCAAAUAACUUCCUCCUUUAAAAAUAUUCCAACCCAUGCAAAUGCAGAUUACAGACAUCAACAUGUAUUCAAUCAUUCCAAUUCAAUUCAUAAUAAUUAAUGUAGAUCAGUAUCAUUAACAAUCAUCACAAUUUAUAUACAUUUAUAAAAUUCAUGUCUCAGUCUCAGAGUAUCAAAUAGUUUUCAUACAAUAAAAUUCAGAUCAUAAAGUUUGAAUCCUAUUUAUAUGCUAUACGGCCUGGCACACACCUAUGUGCUUGCCCGUGUGGCUCACACGGCCUAGCACAUGCCCAUGUCGUUUGGUCGUGAGGCUUUAAAUCAUGAAUAGUGAGUCACACGGCUUGGAAACACGUCCGUGUGGCUCACACGGCCUAACCCUCGCCCGUGUCAUCUUCCUGUGUGAGUCUAAAUUGCAGACAGAGAGUUACACGGUUUGGACACGCGUCUGUGUCCUUGCCCAUGUGGCUCACACGUCCUGGGCACACGCCCAUGUCCCUGGCUCAUAUGGUUCUAAUCCACAAACAGUGAGUUACACGGCCUAGAUACAUGCUCGUGUCCCUUGCCCGUGUGAACCCUGCACUAACAUAGCCACACAUGGCCUGGACACACAACUGUGUCCCUUUCCCGUGUAGCUCGAAUUCGAUGAACAGUGAGUUACACAGUCGUGUGGCUCACACAGCCUACCACACGACCGUGUGGAGUCGACAACCACAUUUUUCAACGUCUAAAAUUUCUAAAAAUAGGGGUUUUCAAUAUGCACCUGAAGUAGUUUUGAUGCAGGAACAACAUAAAGAACUUCCGAGGCUUAUAGGGGACAGUCAAUAACCAAUUAAUGAUAGAUCAUCACAAUUACUAAGAUUAAUGUGUCAUCGACACAUUUUAACACGAAACCCCAAUUCAACUUAACCAUUACCUCACUUAGAUGAAAUUCACAAAUUAUGAGCGUUAAAGGAACCGUCGUUCUCGAGACUUUCUCCUAAAUCAAUAAUCAAACAUGCAACAAGAAUUCCAUCAUUAAUCAUGUAACUACUUUCUUGACAAAAAGGGAAUUUCAGAAAUUGCCCAACCAACUCACAAAGUUUACCGAAAAUAAACUUACCGACAACAAUAAUAGGUAAAGAGCACAAAUCUAAACAGACGAUACGAAGGAAAAAGGAAAAAAGUUAAUAACAACGAUGAGCAAAAGAAAAGAAAGAAAGAAAAAGAAAAGGAAAGGAAGAAAAAGAAAAGAGAGAAAAGAAAAGAAAAAAAUGGAAAGAGGGAGAAGAAUGUUAAUUAAUUGUUUCAACCUCCAACCAGAAAUCUUUAAAAUUUUUCUUAAUGCAUACGCUAGGACUCAAACACAGGACCAAAUGGAAUAUAAAAGCUUAACUAGUGAACCAGCAAGCUCAUUCUUGAUAUAUAUUUACACGAAAUUAGACUUAAAUAUGUAACUUCAAAAUAUGGGUUAUCUUAAAAUAAAAUAACAAAAUUUCUAACGAUGCAACUCGAACUCUUGACCUCAACCACAUAAACAGAGUACAAAACCACAGAUAUAGAGAUUUAAUUACAACAAAGAUCCAACAAUCAAACAUUAAAAUUUUUGGGGCAUUACAGGCUAAUUGAACUAAAAUCUUGAUGAUAAGAUGUGCCUAUGCCUAUUAAUUUCAAAAUUUAGUGUAAGGUGGAAUAUGUUAAAAUAUUAACAAGUUGAAAGAUCAUGUGUUUAAUAAUAAGGUUAACUAUAAACCAUCAGACAUAAAUUGUGAUUGAAAAUUUGAUUUGCUAUGCCCCCUAAUAGGUAAAUAAACAAGUGAAUGUCUGACUUGCAUAAGGUACUAAUGGCCAUAAAUGGAACUCACAUGUGAAUAUGUUAGAAAGUUAAAAAAUUAAUAAACCAGGGAUUGGAAAAUAUUGGUACCCUCAACGAAAACCUUGAACAUGAAUUCCCUAAUAUGAGUUGUCAAAGAACCAUAAAUCAGUAAGUUGAUCUCCAUAAUUCAGUAAUCAUAUUUGAAUUUGUUAAAAUGGCCUAGUAUGACAAAAAUAAACUUUGAAAAUUAUUGUUAAGGGGCUCAAUGUCAAUAUAAGGAUGGGAUAAGUAGGCUUAUCCUUAAGUACUUAUUAAGCCUUUUAAGCUCACACGUUAGUAGUUUAAAACGUGUAGGUUUUUAGACUUGUUGAGAAGCUAUGGAUUUGGCUUGGGAGUUUUUGCCAAAAACGCCGCUAAAGUUAGACAUUAUCGGUGUUUUUUUUUUAAAAACGCCACAAAAGAUUUCCAAGCUUUUUUGAUACGACGUCGUUUCAGUUUAGGGAUAAAAUUUAAAAUUUGGAAAAACGGCACCGUUUCAGUGGAAGAAUAAAAUCUUUUACUGGCGUUUUAUUGAAAACACCGUAAGGAUGUAUAAGUGUUUGUGAAAACGGCGCCGGUUCUAUUCAGGUAAUUAAUUUUUGUGGCUUUUUUGGGAAAACGCCACAACAUUGCACUCUAAUUUAUUAAAACGGCUCCGUUUCUUUACGUUCUUUGAAAUAUUAGUGGCAUUUUUUAUUAAAACGCCGCAAGUGUGAAUAAAAUAACGGCGUUUGUUUUAAAAAUGUCGCAAACGUGACUUAAAAUUACCUUAAACGGUGUUGUUUCCUAGGAGGACAUUUUUACUUAAUCCCUCCGUCUCCUUUACCAAAAUUUGAAUAAACUUAAGUAGGGUAACAGCGAUUCGAUAGGGAAGGAAAAAAAAGAGCAAGAAAAAAAAGGAGUCGACAUCUUAGGAAUCAACAGAAGGCAUUGGAAGGUUGGAAUUGAUCUUUACACCAUUGUUGGGCAAAGCUAUGAGAUUUGUAUCCCAGGUAAGCCGUUUCUGUCGAUGACCGAUUAAAAUUUUAGGGUUUUGUUUAUUUGGGAUUUAGGGUUUCGAUUAAAUUGAUUCUGUCAUCAAAAUAAACCUAAUCCGUUUAUGUCAUUUACAAUACUUGGGUUUAAGUUUCGUUUACAUUUACUUUCUUAAGUUGUGUUUUUUGUAGGCGAGAUUUGCUCUAGAGGUCUCCGAUGCUUAUGUAAAGAAGGCAUUGGGAAAAAGAUGGAGAGACCAUAAGAGCACUUUAAAGAAAGACUAUUUUAAGACAAAAACAACACUCGACGAGAAAUUACAAAAUGUCCCGCCGGGAAUGCUGAGGUACCAGUGGGAAGAGGUCGUUAGAUUUUGGACUUCGAAGAAAGGAGAGGUAUGUGUAACUUAUAAAAUAUAGUAAUUAUUUUGGUGUAUAGUAUUUACUAAUUAACGUACUAAUAAUUUCAUAACGUAGGAUCGUGAACGAGUUGGAAAAAGUAGUAGGCAGAAACAAAAAUUCACUCACACAGCUGGGUCGAAAAGUUUUGCGUGUAUAGCUCAGGCCAAGGUAUUUUGAAUUUUUUAAUACUGGCAGACAUUUAUUACUUUCUAUCAAAUAAUAUUUUUACUAUUGUAUUGUAGGAACUGUUGUCCGGUCAAAAAGUUGGACGCCUUCAACUUUUUGACAUUACACAUAGGAAGAGAGAUGGAAACCCUAUGACUCCUGAAGUUGCAAAAAUUAUGGUACGUUUGCUUAAUACAAUUUGACUUGUUUUAAUUAUUUACAGUGUUUAUUUUCUAAUGGUUUAUUUCAUUUCUUGUAAUGAAAAUAUUGUUAAGUUAUGUUGCAUUUGUUUUUUUAAUAUAUAUUGCGUUCCUAACUAUGUGAUUUAUUUUUUUACGAAAAACUAAAGGAUAAAAAGGCGGAGCACGAAGCGAUUACUUCCAGUGAUAGUUCUGUUCAUAUUGACGACAUUGAUAACCGGAUUAUCAUUGAAGUUUUGGGACCUGAAAGGUAUGGUCGGGUUCGAUUUCAAUGAUCUUUUGUUAACCCAUCCCAAUAUUUUGGAUCCAGCUCGCAACAAUACAUGCCUUCGGGGAGUCAAACUCAAGCUGAAGUUCAGAGGUUAAGAGACCAGAUGGCUCAGAUGCAAGCGACAACAAUUGAGCAAAUUACACAACUUAAAGCGGAGGCAACAUCGAGAGAAGCUGAGGUUCAAAAAAGAUAUGAAGAACUCUAGCUACAAGCAGAUGCAGUAGCGAGAGAAGCUGAGGUUCAACGAAAGUAUGAAGAACUCCAGCAACAGUUUAAAGCAGAUGCGGCAGCGAGAGAAGCAGAGGUUGAAGCGAGGGAAAUAGAGGCUGCAGCGAGGGAAGUAGAGCAGUGUAAAAAGUAUGAUAAACUCCAGCAGCAGCUUCAGAGUAUGAUGAAGAUGUUUCAGCAGUUGAAACAGCCGUCAUCUUAGACUAUCGUGUAAAUAUACUUCAAUUUUGACUUUUAAUUAUCAUUUUAACUUUUAACAUUUUUGUAAGAAUAAUACGAAUUUUAUUUUAUUUAUUGAUAUUUAUUAUAUAUUAUUCGUUUAAUUUUAAAUAUUAUAUAGAUUUAUUGCUUUUGGUUGGUUUAGAUUUAGUUUCUUCUGAUUUGUUUUUGCAGGAGGGAUGAAAAUAUAAAAAAAUUUCUUUUACAAAUCUAUCAAAAUUAGUGGCGUUUGUGGGAAAAGCGCUGCUAAAGAUCACGAUCUUCCGCGGCGUUUGCGAUAAAAACGCCGCUAAAGAUCAGGGACUUUAGCGGCGUUUGUUGGAAAGGUACCGCUAAAGAUCAGGGUUUUUAGCGGCGUUUUCUGGAGAAGCGCCACUAAAGAUCAGGGUCUUUAGCGGCGUUUGUCAGAGAAGCGCCGCUAAAGGUCAUUAUCUUUAGCGGCGUUUGUUUGGUAAGCGCCGCUAAAGACCAUGACCUUUAGCGGCGUCUUUCCAUGGUCUUUAGCGGCGUUUGUGGUGAAAGCGCGGCUAAAGCUCUUGGUCUUUAGCGGCGUUUAUUUCUAAAAACGCCGCUAAAGUUAGCGACGCAGUCAUUAGCGGCGUUUUUUGUGGCGCUUCUCAAAGCGCCGCUAAAGGCCUAAAAAAGCGCCGCUAAAAGCCUGUUUUGGUGUAGUGUUGUAAAUGGUAUACAUUUUUCCUAUAAAGGUAUCAAUUCAAGUUUAGUGAAUUGGGAAACCUUAAUUGAUGUAUACCAAGGUAAUUAAAGAGCGUACCUAAGGUUUUUUGGGUAUAAAACCUUAAGAGGAUUAGACAUGUUUUUGUUUCUUUCUUUUCUUUUCUUUUUGCUCAGAAAUACAAUUUUAUUAAUAAGUGAAAAAAAUACUAGUUGAACUUUUGUAAAAUCUAGAGGGUUUUAGUUAAAUCAUAAAAACUAAAGAGAAAGUUCUAUCGUAGUCUUAUGAAAAAGAUAAUACUUGUAAAUGGUAUACAUUUUUCCUAUAAAUGUAUCAAUUCAAGUUUAGUGAAUUGGGAAACCUUAAUUGAUGUAUACCAAGGUAAUAAAAGUAGACGAUUAAAAUUGAACUACUAUAAAUUAAUUGUCGAAGGUUUCUUUCUUUCUUUUUUUUUAAGUUUGGAAAAAAAAUUAAAUACCAAACUACCCAUAUUUUCCGGCCUAUCAAUAUUAUAAUUCUUAAAAAAGCAAUCACACAAAAAGCAACAUUUAUUUUUUGAUCACUUAUUUCCUAAUAAUAUGAACACCUCCCAAUUUCCUAACCACCUAGGGAUGAAAAAGCACAUUCCUUUUUUCAUAAAUAGAAAUAUAGAAGGUCAAAGUGUAAUUUUCUUUACACAUUGUUUUAGUAAACCAACCACAUAGUGGCAAGGGUGGAGCUAAAGGGGCUGGCAAUGGCCCCGACCCUUCUUAAAAUGAAAAUUUUCACUUUUAGUUUUUUUUUAUAAUUUAAAAAAAUUUAAAUUAGUAUAUGGUAAAAUUAAACUUUGGCCUCCUCAAGAAUGAGAAAAAAUUAAUUUAAUCCUUUAAAAAUUAUAAAGAUAUAAACUAUUAAAAUAGUAAAAUUUCACUUUUACUAUUAUAAAAUAUACAAUUUUAUUUCAGUCAAUCCUCAAAAUUUUUUUAACUCCACCCAUGCGUGACAUACCAAUUGAUUGAAAAUUCUUGAAAUGAGUAAUCACAAUGCCACAUGCUCUGAGUAUUUUGCUUUUUCUUUCAUAUCAAAAUGAAUGGUUAUUGAAAUACCAAGUUUUAAACUUGUGAUAUACAUAUAUAUAUAUAUAUUCUUCCCUUCUAUGUGAUAGUGUUACCAAGCAUUCCCAUAUUUCAUUGAUUUUCUGCAGUUUUAGUCUCAUAAUAUCAGAUGCAUAUUGCUUUAAGUUGAUGCGUUUGACACACAUAUAGAUAGACACGUUUAUGGGGUUUGCAGUUUUAGCGUCAUCAUAUUAGACUUUAAUGCGAAAAAGGGAAAAGCUUCAAUAUGGUAUAUCGCCAUUGGAUAUAACACAAAUCAACUAUUCAACUUGGCCGUAUAAGGCAAAUAUUUCAAGCAAUGCGUCCAAUGGUUUUAAAUACUAUAAUUUUUUUAUAAAUUUAUUUAUUUCGGUAUAUAAUUAAAAUAAUUUUAUUUUUUUUUGUAAUUUUUUAUAUGAUUAAUAUUUUAAUAAUUUAAUUGUUAAAUUUAUUAUUAUUUUUGUAUUUAAAAUGUAUGUAAAAUUUUGAACCGAUUCGAUAUCUCUACUAUAUUGAUAUAAAAUAUUGUCUAUAUUAUUAUAUAUUUAACGGUUAAAUUUUUUUUACAUAAAACAAAUGGUUAGAAAUUUUAAUUUAUGAGUACAUGAGUGAAGUAUGAAAUAUGACAAUUGGAUUGUUAAAAUAUAAAUCAUAUAAAAAAUUACCGAAUGGUGUAAAACCACUUUAAUUUUACAUUUUUGUAAGUAGAUCUCUCCCUUUUUUUUUAUCAAUUAAUAUUUGAUAAAUUGUUUGGUACAUAAGUCUUAUGUACAUCAUUUAUUAAUAAGAUGAUACAAUAUUAUUGGUGUAAAAUAAAAAAUAUUAAAAGACCCUUAAAAAAUAAAUACUAUUAAAAUAAUUUAAAUAUGAUUAAAAUUUAAGUUUAAUUAUUUUGCUUCUCUUUCUAGUUUUCUUUUGGAUUUCGAGUUUUGAAUUGGGUAUUUUUUUAUGUUUAAUAAAUAUAAUUAAUAUUUAUUUUUAAAAUAAAUUUAUUUAUAUUUAUUUUUAAAUCCUUCAAUAUUUUUUUGUUUUAUAUCAAUAACAAUGUUUCAUUUUAUUAUUAACUGGUGGUGCAUAAAAACUGUACACCGACAAUACAUCAAAUAUAAAUAUAUGAUUAUACUGAUGUUUAUUAUUUUUAACAAAACUUAUAUAGCAUCCUGCAAGUAAAGUUGUUAAAUAAAAUCGAUAAAAUAUUAAAACUACAAAUAAAUUUUGAUUUUAUGCAAUUUUAUACAUGAAAUUUUUGUUUGAUUCAAUUUAUACAAAUCACUAACAAUGUUAUCUAGGUAGCACAUUUUUAGUUUAUAUAUAGCACACACAAACAAUUAUAUUAAUCCAAUAUGAAAAUAAAUAGAUAUAUAUUUAUUUUUUUAAAUAUGUACAAUUGAAUCAAAAUCAAAGUUCAAUAUAUAUAUUUGAAACACAACCAAAGUUUCGUGUACUUAAUUGCACCACAACAAAUUUCAUGUAUAGUUUUGAUACUUAUUCCUAAAUAAAAUUAUAAAUCAAUAAAGUUUUAACUAAAUAAUAAGACCAAAAUCCUAAAAAAUUUGAGAUCUUAAAUUCAAAUCCCAACCUAAAUAGAAAUGGUAGAUUCUCUUCCAGAUUUAUUUUACGUAAGUAAUUUGAUUCAUUAACAAUAUAUUAUGUAGAAUAUAUUUUUAAUACAUCAAAUAUAAAAAUUAUAAAUAAUCCCUACGAAAGUUUAUAUUUCACAUGCUUUUGCAAAAUAUAUAUUAUAUUUAGUAAACCUGUUACGUAAGGGGUUUGUCGUGCAUGGACGUUACCAGUUCUAUCAGAACAAGGAAAUACCGUUUUCCUGAUAAAUCAUUAUUUAUUCCAACUAAAUCAAAAAUUUAAUUAAUGAGUAUUAGUUUGACUGUUAUAAAUAUUAUUGUAAAUAUAGGAGGAUAUUGGUUCGAGUAUACUGAAGCGCAUUAUUCUCCUAUUUAUGGGUUGGGGACGAGCUUUAGAUAAUUUUAAGCAUUCUAUAAAAAAACAGAUAUCAAAACUCGUAAUUAAAAAAAAUCUGAAUAUUGAUAAAUUUUUUGAAACUUUAAUUAUGAGAAAAAAAUAAAAAUUCUAAAAGUUCUAAAAAAUUUUAAAAAAUUUUAAAAUUCCAAAAUAAUCUAAACAAUUGAGAUUUCUUUUAAAAUUGUUAUAUUUUUAAAUUAUAAAAAUUAAAAUAAUCUAAAAUUUCUAUAAAAAAAAACCCCAGGACUAAACCAUAUUUGUCCAAAACACAAUCAACACAUCUUUAAUUUGAAGGAGAAAGAAAUUUAUCAUAUCUUUUUUCACAUAACCUCAUUUUAAUACGAUUAAACUCAAAUGAUGUUUCCCAAAACUCAAAUUAAAUUAUAAAUCAGAACAAAUCUAGGUAAACACAUGUCUAGGUUCAUCUGCGGCUCCUCCCCUACUUUUUGAUAAUUAAUUAAUAAAAUGAUGUAAUUAUUGAAAACGAAAGAUCUACACAAACAUUGAUAUCAAUGUAAGACUCAUUCUCUCAUCUAACUUUUUUUUUUUUUGUCUCUGUCUAAUUUUUCCAUUAAACUAUAUAAAUAUAUAUUUAUUUCUCCAGAAAUGGCUUUUGGGGGUUAGGGAUGGUUGAAUUUGCAAUCGUGGCUAAAGAUAGAGAUCACCUACCUAGACCAACAAUUCAAACACGUGACAUGUUUGAUUCCAAUGCCUUACAUUAGCAUUUUGGGGACAAUUUUCGGCCACGAAAAAUUUCUCAAUAAAGAACUUCUUUGGCCUCAGGAGUUGACCAAGAAAACAAUAAUGGAAGGGAAUCGGCCUAAAAAAUUAAGUCAAGAAAUGACCCAAUUGGACCUUUUAUGGUUAUUAUUAUUUAUUAUUUGAUGGAAUUAGAUUAGUAAGAUCAAAUUCAAAUUGAAUCAAUUUGAGUUUUAAAUUUUUUUUGAAAUAUUUCAGGUUCUAAUAAUUUUGGGAUUAAAUCAUUUCGAAUUUAAAUCAUUUUUUACUCGAGUUAUUUGAAUUUAUGAGUUGAGUUAUUCGAUUAUUGCAGAUUCAAAUAAUUCUAAGUUUGAUAACUUUUAUUUGUCAUUUCGAGUUUGGGAUGGACGGAAUCGAAUUGUUAACUUUUUAUAGUGAAACUGGAUUUAAUCUCAUAUUCAUAUUAAUCGAAUCAAAAUUUCUUGUUUAGAUCAAAAUUAAUAGAUUUAAAUUAAAUCGUAAUUAUAAUAAACAAAUGAGAGAUGCUUUACUUGCUAUUUCAUUUGAGCGAAUUUUGCUAAUUUAAUGGUUUACCAUAAAAACUUUCUGUUUCUCAAUAAUAUGAUGCAUAUGAGUGGGUCUAUAUACUCAUUUAUAAGGAUGUUCAUAAUUAUGUAUAAAAAAGUCAACCAAUUCAUGAACCAUUAGAAUGCAAGAAUCAAAUUGUAAGGUGAUCAGUCACCACACUUGGGGUUCCUAACCAAAUUUGCUUGGAAGGAUAUGAUAAUAAAUAAUUUUGUGCCUCUAGCUACCCCCAAUUCAUGCACUAGUAUAGAUUGGUUUUUAAUAUAGCCUAUGUAAGAAAUAUGGUAAUUAAUAUAUCUUCGUUUUUAAUAAAUUAAAUGUAAUAUUUUAUCAAUAAUUACAUGCAAAUGGGAAUGUCUUUCAAUAAUCAUAUAAAAGGGGUAAAUGAAGCCUUAACUUAAUGGUAAAGUUGAAGCAGCGAGAAUUUUAAUAUCCCAAGUUUAAGUCUCAUUAUGUAAAUAUAUAAAUUUUCUAAAUUUAUUCUGAUUAGUUAAUUAAUGUAAAUUGAAUUAAUUGUUAACUUAAUUAUAAAAUUCAGUGCUGGAUUGAUUUUAUUGAAAUUAAUGCAAUCUUAAAAACACCAUAUAAAAGGGAAGAAUUGCCUUCCCUAACUACUCAUUCUUUACCACUAACUUCACCAGUUCGAUUUGGAGUGAAUUUAUUAAGAAGUAAAUUCAAUAAAUUUUAUGCCGAUUGAAUCUUAACAAUGUUGGUAAUUAUAUUAUUGUUAGUAUAGAAAGACGUAGAUAUAAACACUUUCAAGUAUAAUUUAUCUUUUACUUAAAAUUAGUAUAGAAUUAUGAGUAAUUCGUAUAAAAAAACUAUAUUAUCAAUCAAACUUAUAAUGUGAUAGUGAAGAACUUUCAUUAAAAUAAAAUUUUAAUUGAUAUCGGAAAUCGAAAUAAUAAUUGUGGCCCAGAAGAGAUCUAAAGAAGAAAAAUAUUAUAUUGAAAACCCUAAGCCAAUUAUUUUGGUAUUUUGUUGACCAAAGAACCCCAACCCAAAAAAGAUAAUGAAAAGGUAAAGGUCGGAACUAAUAGAUGAAAAUCAUACUAUAAUAUAAUUUUUUUGGAUAAACAUACUAUAAUGUAUUAUGUUGGGAUUCUUAAGGAAUGCAAUGACUUGCCACGGAAUGUAGAAUAUUAGAAUUGUAAAGAAUUCGUUGGAUGUAUUGCUUCAAGUUCUCCAAGAGCCAAUAGACUCUACAAGUUUUAAAUAAAUAAAUAUAUAUAUAAAUUUCGACAAGACUGACAAGUGGCUCAAUUAUAGCUGUUUAAAACCCUCAAAAAAUUGGAAUAUAAUAAACCACUUAGGUUACAUUGAUUUCUCACUAUAACAGUUCCAUAUAUAAUAGAAGAGAGAGAGUGAAUUAGUCGACUUGUAAUAAAAUGAUUGGAUAUUAAACCAAUUUUUUUGUUGGGCCAAAAAAAUAAUAAAUAGGGUUUCCCCAAGGUUUUGUCCAUUGAAAACAUACGUAAGGGGUUUUGAAUUGUAAGCUAAAUAUAUAAAGCUUAAUCCAUGAAUGGACGGCGAUUAUGAUAAAAUAUAUAUGCUAAUUAGAGGAAGUUAGAUUGUAACCAAAGAUUUCAUCAUCCAUCAUGCAUUAAAAUUCUUUUGGAGCAAAUGAUUUGUCAUCUCUGAUGUGGCAAAAAAACCAACAUGCUUAUCAAGUUCUUUCUACGAGAAAGUAUUGUAUGAAACAUAUAUAUUAUUAUUUUUUAAUAGUUUAAUGUCACAUCAACAAUUUCAUCUUAAAUUUUAAGAUUUUCAUUUGAAUUUUAUAUUUUUUAGGAUGAAAAUACUGAAAUUCAGAUUAAAAAUAUUGAUGUGACAUUAAAUUAUUGAAAAAAGAUAUAGAUAACAUAGUGUAUGAGAUUACAUGCUUAACUCAUUUAGAUGCUCAUAACAUCAAAAUUUUAUGUUAAUGCUAUCAUAAUAUUUUCUUUCAUGGAAAUAAUAUUGAGAUAAUGGAGACUAGGUUUAAGGUAAAUAUUAUCAUGUAUAUUGAUAGUGGAGUUUAAGCAAAAGAAAACAAAAAAUGACACGUGAAUUUGGCUUUUUGUUAUUUGCAAGAUACGUGGAACUUUAAACUCAUGGUCAUUUGUAGGCAAAUUAUUAUAAGAGGCCUGACUCUUUUGUUUUCCAUCCCAAAAUUUCCUAUUCCUGUGGUAAAAGUUUGAAAUUUCUUUUUGUUGCAAUACCUGCUGAGUGGCGAAUUAUUCAACUUCAUAAAUUUUAGUACGUUCUUUCCCUCCAUGGAUACUGAUUUUGAUUAUUAAUAUUUUAUCUACUUUUAAAGAUGAAUAAAAUCAUGUUUUAGAAAAUUGCGCUUCCAAGAUUAAUAACAAAAUUAACUCGAAAUAAGUAGCAAUGUUGUUUCACUUAAUUUCUCUCUUGGAAGAAUAACUCUUGUUUAGAAUAGUUGUUGCUUAGAACAACUUUUGUUUGAGAAUAGUUAUGUUUGGAAUAGCCAUGUUCAAACCAAGGCUCUAGUUUAAAACUGUUAUCAUCUGAUGUAGUUGUCGUUUGAGAAUAGCUCAUGUUGAAAACAAGUCUUGUUUAGAAUAAUUAUGUUUCAAGAACAACUAGGUUUAGAAGACCAUUGUUAAGAACAACUUCUAUUUGAAACAAUUGCGUUUUUUUUCUCUAGAAGAGCCAUUAUUCGGGAUAGACUCUCUCAAAAAAAGCAUCACCACGUAAUAGCUCUUGUUUGGAACAACCAUGUUGAAAACAAUUCACAUUAUGAACAUGUCAGAAUAACCCUCAUUCAAGAACAACUUUUUUUAAGAAUAACUUGCAUUUCACGAGAUGGUUUGCGAAAAAAUGUGUCCUUCACCAAAAUAGAGGAAGUGCAGGGUUCUUAGGUUGUAUUCACACUUGUAGUCAAAGAUCGUAUCCGUGUUUUGCUAAACACUAUUUUGUCAAAAACUAUCGUCUCCCUUAUGCUACUUUCUAUCAAUGUGUUUUGUCUUUAUGUGGUUUCUUAGGGAUUUAGCUAUAUCCGCAUUGUUGUAGUGCCAUAGUUUUUUCAUACCUCACAUUUGGCCCUCUAGAAUGAAGUUAGCAGUGUAACUGAUGGUCACUAAACUAACUAUAAAUAAGACUAAGACAAGCGCACCUAUCGAACAAUAGUAUAGUUAUGGUAAGUAGGGAAUAUCGUAUCCAUGAGGACUAUAAGUACUAGUAAUUACCCUUUUUCUAUUAUUUAGCCGAUAAAUUGGAGUGAUUGUUUUUAAUCUAAAAUUACUAAACUAAUCUAACUAAUAAUGCAACAGAGAAUGAAAUAGGAAAAUAAUUGAAGAUAACCAAUGAGAUCGACAAUACCCAAGAAAGAAUCCACCUAGACUUCACUUAUUAUUAUAAAUCUGAAUUAAAUGAUUUAUUCACUUGUGUCUUGAUCCGUAAAAAUCCCUAAAUUAUGUUAAUAUCUCUUUCGAGAGUAAGAACAACUAACUCUAGGUUGAUUAAUUGAAACCUCUUUCUAAUUAAAACCCCUAUCGUCGCAUUAACUCAAUCUAUGGAUUCCCUUAUUAGAUUUGACUCUAAUCCGGUAGAUUUAUGUCGUCCUAUUUCUAGGAUUGCAUACAACUCCACUCAAUUAUGCUAGAUUUACUCUUAAACAGAGCCUUUUGUUCCACUGAAUUAAGCACAUUAAACAUGAAUUAAUAUCCCUAGAAAUAUUCAAACAAGAAAUAAGCAUACAUAAUUGAGAACAAGAAUCAAGUAUUUAUCGCGUAAAUCAGAAAUCAAAUAAUAAGAUUCAUCAUAGGUUUUAUCUUCCCUAGGUAUCUAGGGAAUUUAGUUCGUAAUCCUGAAUAAAAACAUCUCAAAGUUAGGAUAACCACAAGACAUAAAUAAACUCAAUAAAACUUCGAAAGAAAUUAAAUGGAGAUCUUCGAUCUUGAGGGAGAUCCACUUUCGAGUUGAUUCCGAUGGCGUUCUUCGAGUGUUUUCUUCAAUCUUCUCUGAUUGCCCAUUUAUGUCUUCUUCUAAUUGGUAUUUAUAGGCUUUAUAAUGCUCAGAAAAGCCUAAAAAUUAGGUUUUUUUUGCGUAUUUGGGAAGCUUUACGCUUUCUAGUUCUCUUCCUUUCCACUUGUGAUGGCCCAGAGACCUUAGUCUUGCUUUUCUUAGCGCGUCUUCCCUUCCCUUUUGAGGAAGAAGCAACAACUAUAUUUGUUUCUUCUCUUCAGACAGACAUUAUGUUAUAAUCAAGGUUAAAAUAAGUCAUAGGUCCAUCUAUUUUUAUAGAUUUGAAAUUUUAGCCCCUACAUUAUUGUUUCUAAGAAUUUAGCCUCUUUAUUUUUCAAAUUUCAAAAUUUAGGUUUAAUUGUUAAUAUUGUUAAAUAUUUUGAAAUAAAAAAUACACAUUUGGUAGCAAUGUAACUAAAUAAAUGAUGUAAUGAACUUGAAAUUUAACAAAAUAAUCUUCCAUUUUAAUAAUGUUAACAUUUAAACCUGGAUUUUAAAAUCUGAAAUUUAAAAAAUACUUACUUCAUAGUAGUAUAACUAAAUAAAUAAUGUUAAAAUUUUAAUAAUGUUUCUGUACUAUAUUUCUCUUCUCUUCUUCUUUUUCUUUUUAAAUUAUAAGGUAAUGGUUAAUUUUCAAUUCUAAUCCUUCUAUUUUUUGAGAUUAUAUAAUUUGGUUCUUAUAUUACACUUAAAUUUGAGAUUUAAUCUGUAUAAUUUAAUUUUUAACAUGAUUUGAUACCUCAAGUUUUAUAAUAUCAUUAAUUAUUCUAAAUAAUUUAUUCUGGUUAAAAUACUUAUGCAAAUUUUAAGAAUUGCUAACUCUGUUUAAAUUCUUUGUUAAAUUCUAGUCCAUUACAAUGUCAUUUUUUUGUUAUAUAACUAUUAAGUGAGGUUUUUUUUAUAAAAUGUCACAUCAAUAAAUUUAACAGAAGAAUUUUAAUGGUGUUGAUAAUUGAACUUGAAUUUUUAAAUUAAAAAAGUUGAGAAAGUAAAAUUUUGAAAACAAAAGUAUAAUAACUAAAAUCUAAAUAUACAAAAAGUACAGAAACAUAAAGUAUAGGUACCAUUUAAUUUUUUUCUUUAUAAAUUAACCUAAAAAAAUAGUUAAUCCAGCACAAAGCUUUGGAACCAUUUCAAAAGAAGAUACCGCUCAACUUAAUAACUAAUACUACAUUUAGUUGUAGUAUUAUUUUCUAGGCUUGUUUUAGUAUAUGAAUUAGUAAUAAAUUAAUUUAAUUGGUAAUAUUUAAUCACCCUGGCGGCUUAUUUUUAGUAAAGAGAAGAAAAAUAUUUCAAUUAUUUUGAAGAGAUCUUAUUUUUUACAAGAGUUUUGACUCGUCUUUUUACAAGAGACCUUAGGUCUAACCAUUAUAAUACACAUGUAAUAAAUACUUUUUUCCCCUAUUUUAUAUUAUUGUAACCAAACGAGACGUAUCAUGAAAUGGACAAUUAGGGAUAAUAUUUGAAAAGGUCCAACAAUAAUUAAGAAUGAUUCCAAGUGUGGGGAAUCUACUGGUUUAGUCUUUCGAUUCGGAUACUACUUUUUGAUUUUUUACCUUUCUUUAAUUUUAUAUUAUCUAAGAUGAUACAGUUGAAAAUCUACAUAUUAUUAUUAUUUUAAUCUACGCAUUGAGGAUUUAAUUUUUGAAAGAGAAAUUAAUAAUAUUAUUGUUUUUUCUUACCCUCCGCCACAAUCAAAGGAAAUUAGAAAAAAUAAACAUAUGGAAGAAAUGGCAGAAAAUAAUUGGACAUAUUUGGAAAAAAUGUGACAAACGUGAGUAGAUUUAUAUGAUUAUAUUAAGUUCUUGAAGAGCUGUCAAUUAAAUAAUGGUGAGUGUGAAAAGAUUUUUGUUGACUUAAAAUUUUCAUUAAUAGGGUUGAAAUCCCAAUAACUUGUUUUGUUAUUAAAAAAUUAUGUCAAAAUUAUUAAAUUAUUAGUAAAUUUAUAUUUUGAUUAUUUAAUUUUAAGAAGUUAUAAAAUGUUUAUUGAAUUAUUCAAAAGCUUUCAUUUAAGUCAUUGGGCUAUCAAAAUCGCUAUUGUAUGGCCUUCUUUGUUUGCAUCGUUUGCACUAAUCGAAUGCUCCCAUUCUCAUCUUUUUAAUGAAAUUAACAACUUUAAAUGGCAUGAAUCUGCGAGCAAAAAUUCAAAUAGUUUUCUUUUCCAACCUCCAACACCGAUCGUCAGAUUGACUUGAUGUAGGGUAUUUUCUUUCACUUAUCAUUGGGUAUUGAUCAAUUGUACAGAUCGUCAAAUCACCAUUUACAGCUUGCUAACCGGAUUAAAAAAAAAACUUAAUAGCCCAAUAAAUUAAAUAAAAACUUUUGAAUCAUUUAGUGACUUAAAUAAAAAAUUUUGAAUAGUUCAAUGACAUUUUAUAACUUUUUCAAAUUGAUUGAUCAAACUUACUAAAAGUUUUGUUAGUAGUUUAUCCUAAAAAAAGUCAAGAGCCAAUAGGCUCGACGAGAUAUGACAAGUGGCUCAACUAUAACUGUUUAGAGAGAAGGGAUUGUAUGAAACUGUGAUUCCACGUCAUCUCUAUCUCUUCCUAAUAGGAGAAUGACAAAUCAGAUUUUUCCUCCUUAUUUUUAGCAUUUUUAGUUGGAUUUGAAUUUUUUCAGGAUAAAAAAAAUGAAAAUCAGAACGAAAAAUAUGAUUUGUCAUUCUUCUAUUAGAAAAAAAUAGGGAUGACGUGGAAUCACAGUUUCAUACAAUCCCUUCUCCUGUUUAAAAACCUCAUCAGACUUGAUUCCUCAUACAUUAUUUCGAUAAUAGAAGAAAAUGUUUGGAAAUUAAACCAAUUAUUUUAAGAAAUAAGGUUGCAUGUAUCUGCCCCUUGAAAGAAUACGUAGUGGGUUUUGGAUGAUAAACUAUAAAAAUAUAUAAAGCUUAAUCCAUGAAUGGUCGGCAAAAACUGUUAUAAGUCAACCAAAUAUUAUUGGGACAUUUAGGAUAACCAAAGAUUUCAUCAUCCACCACGUAUCAAAACUCUUUGGGGACAAAGAAUAUGUCAUCUUUGAUGUGGCAAUUAAACCAACAUGCUUAUCGACUUCUUUUGAUUGAUUAGCAGAUGACAUGCUAACUCAUUUAUAUGGUCAAAGAACCAAUUUUGUUAUUGCUAGAUUUAUAGCUAUAAAUAGAUUGAAUUUUAAAUUAAUUGGUAAUAAUAUUAUUGUUAAUAUAAAAAAAUAUAGAUUCGAGUAAAAUAAAUAAUAUUAUUUGGGUUAAAUCAUGUUGGCACAAAAUUCAAAAUUUCUUUUAAAAUCACUUCCAUUACUACACUUUUGUGAAUAAUUAAGCAUGAUCCCAAGUGUUGGGAAUGUACUGGUUUAUCACAUUUUAAAAUCAUACCAAUUAAUCCCUUUUCGAACCCACAAUUGAGGUUUAUUGCUGUUAAAGCCGGAAAGGGAACAAGAGAAAGUGGAGUGCACAAAGAAAAUUAAUAUUAUUUCUUUUUUCUUACUUUUCCCCACCAUCAAGGGAAAUAGAAAAAUAAACAUGUGAAUGUAAUGCCAAAAAGAGAAUAGGGGAACUUUAGGGAAUAAAAAAGUGAUAAAGGUGAUUAGUUUUUCCUCCUACAUGAAUGUAAACUUAAAAGUUGUUUUAUUUUACUUCAUAUUUUUUUAAUAAUUUAAUAAUAUUUUAUUAUAUAUUGAGGUAGAUUUUAUACAUGUCAAGUUUGGAAUAAAUUUAAAAUUUUAACUAUUUGUUUUAAACAAAAAAAGUUCAACCAUUAAAUAUAUAUUAAUAUAGACAAUUUUUUAUAUCGAUAUAGUAUAUAUACCAAAUUGAUUAAAAAAAUUUAAUAUAUAACAAAUAUAAAUAUCUUGAUAAAUUCAAUGGUUUGAUUAUUAAAAUAUAAAUCAUUUUAAAAAAUUAUAGAAAUGUGUAAAAUCACUUAAGAUUUAAGUCAAUAUAAGUUGCUCGUUUCCAUUAUAUAAUGUCUAUUUUCUUUAGUUAAAAAUUCAUAAUUGUGAAAAAGCCUUGGUUUAUAGUUGUUCCAAUUUAAUGUUUAAAUUGUUAGUUUGUGAUAAAGUGAAGUAAGAAGCAAAGUAAUGAGAGAAUAAAGACCAGCACGCAAUAUUUAUUAACGUGGUUCAUAUUCAUUAAUCCUACUCUACGAAGCUUCCCUCAAAGAAUUAUUAUAUUCAAUAAUUGAAUCAGAUCACCUAUUUGCUCCAGCCCAAUCUACCAUUGUAACAACUAAUAUUGCGGCCCCAUUAUUGAACCCAAUUAUUAGAAUCACUCUCCAAGUAAUAACUAAAAAGAGUGUCAAACCAAGCAACAAAGAAUACAAAAUAAAGCAAUCGAACAAGACACUUAAAAACCCCUCAUUGGAGGUGUGACUAUGCUGCCUAUUUAUAAUCAUCUUCAAGUUCUCACCACGACCCGGUGUGACUGGAUGGAUAGACUAUUGUAGUCCUACUUGGUGUGAUUGGUUGGAUAGAGUUGGUGUGUAAUGGAUGAGGGUGGGAUUUGUGAUUGCAUCUGUAUCAAAAUUUGCGUUUGCAUUUGUAUCUGAAUUUUAUUUUGUGUCAAAAUCUUAAUAUGCAUCUGUAUCCGAUUAUGAAAUACAUCUAAUUCUAUAUAAGAGAAUCUAUUUGAGAUUUUUUAUGAUAAAAUUAUGAAUUUCGCUCUGAUAUAUGAAUAUGAAAAUAUGAUAUUCCAAUCUAACAUAUGUUUCUGGCAAUUGUACAUUAUAAGUAAAUUUUUUGUGAUGGUUUUUACAUUUGUGUUUGUUAUAAAUAUAUACUAUUUGUGGGUCAAGUCACACACUGGGCUUCUAGCUCAUCCGUUUAUUUAAUACGUUUCAGGUGACCUUCAGGCUUAGGACUUGGCGGCGAUUCUGGAGUUCAGUUCACACAAUAUGUUAUAAGUACGUUUUGAAUUUUGAUUUCGAACUUUACGGUCUUUCAAAUUUUAAUUUGUUUGGGAACGUUACAUUUUAGUUUUUGGUAUUUGUUUUUGCGGACGUGUUAUUUAUAACUCGUAAACACACCCAAGGCGACAUAACUGAUGAAACCCUAAGAUCUUAAGGGAUAAGAAUUUUUAAAGUAUUUUCUCGUUGUAAGGUUUUGAAAUUAAUUACGAUGUUUUACAACUCAAUUGGUUAAACGUUUGAGAUUGUUUUUUAUAAAAUUAAUAAAACAAGGUUUGUGUUAAAGUGUUCAGACACAAUCUUCUGAAUACUUGUGUUUUGAUUAAUUAAAUAAUUUUACUACUCUGAAAAUAAAACUAAGUUUUCAUGCAAGUUAAUCAGUAAUGUUUUUACGAAUGUUGUAACCUUCAUAAUCCGACCUUAACAUCUAGGCUAGGUUUGGAGUGUUACAAUUUUACAUUUUAUUCAAUUUAAUCCCUAAUAUACAAAGCUGUCAAUUAUGCUUUACAAUUUAGUCUUUUUCUUAAACUAAGCUUAAAUCAAAUUAACACCUAGAACUUCUGAUUCCCAACAAUGAAAACUUUUUAAAAAUUUAACAGUUUUACAAAUUACUACAUGGGCAAGCUAAAUCAAAUUCCUAUGAGUUCAAAUAUAUAAAAAUUACAAGAAAAGAACUUGAAUUACUUACCUAAUGCUUGGUCGAAUGUAUGUUGUAAACAUGGAGUUUUUCUCCUUUUGUUUUAAGUGAUGGGCGGUAGAGAAGAUGAAGUUUCAUCUUUCCAUCCACUACUUGCUAUUUAUACUAGGUUUACUCUGUAAAAAUAUAACUUUGGUAAUGACAAUAUAUCGCAAAGAAAAUAGAAAUAGAAAUAAAAAUAAAGAACACACAGAUUUUACGUGGAAACCCUUUCGAGAAAAAACCACGGGCAGAGAAGAAGAAAAUUCACUAUGUCGAAUUCGAAUUGAUUACAAGUGGAGUAGACUAUGUCUAUUUAUAGGCUUGUAAAACCAUAUUCUAAUAGGAGUGAAACACCUUAUUCUAAUCAAUAUCAAAUAAAUAGAGUUUAAAAAGGUUUAAAAAACCUUAUUCUAAAAUAAAAUAAAAGAAGUAUAAUUCUAUAGGGAUUUUACUUUUAUUUUAUUUUACCACAGUAUUUUAUUUAAAUAAGGAUUCAGAUUACUUAAUUCUAACAAUCUCCACCUUGACAUGAAUUCUUAAUGAACAAGUUCUUCAUCGCGAACUCUCAACGAAUAAGUUCUCCACCUCUUCCAUAAAACCCCUUAAGGGUUUAUCUUCAACAAGGAACACCAACCAAGUCUAAGCAAUGCUCAAACUUGGUUAUAGGAAGUGACUUAGUCAUCAUAUCUGUAAGAUUUUCAUGAGUACUAAUUUUGCUCACAAUAAUAUCACCACGAGCAAUAAUAUCACGAACAAAAUGAUACCGAACAUCAAUGUGUUUUGUUCUCUCAUGAAACAUUUGAUCUUUUGUAAGGAAGAUGGAACUCUGACUGUCACAAAAUACUGUAUUGAUUUGAAGGUCUUCAUUGAGUUCACUAAAGAGUCCCUUCAACCAAAUAGCUUCUUUACAAACCUCAGUAAUCGCCAUGUACUCAGCUUCAGUGGUAGACAAAGCGACUGUAGUUUGCAAAGUGGCUUUCCAACUGAUUGCACAACCUCCGAUUGUAAAGACAUAACCUUUGAGAGAUCUUCUUCUAUCGAGGUCUCCAGCAAAAUCAGCAUCAACAUACCCAAUGACUCCAUCUCUAGUUCUUCCAAACUGUAAGCAAACAUUGGUAGUACCUCGUAAGUAUCUUAAAACCCACUUAACUACUUUCUAAUGUUCUUUACCGGGAUUUGCCAUGUAUCUGCUAACUGCACUAACUGUAUAUGAUAAAUUUAGACGUAAACAAACCAUGGCAUACAUGAGAGAUCCCAUUGCACUAGAGUAUGGAACAUGUGACAUGUACUCAAUCUCAUCAUCUAAUUGUGGAGACAAAGCCGAUGAAAGUCUGAAAUGGGUUGCUAAAGGAGUACUAACAGGCUUAGCAUUCUGCAUAUUGAAUCUGCAAAUAACUUUCUCAAUGUACCCAUUCUAACUUAGGUAUAAUUUACUUGCUUUUCUAUCUCUGAGAAUCUCCAUACCAAGUAUCUUCUUUGCUGGUCCCAAAUCUUUCAUAUCAAAUUCUUCACUUAGUUGGACUUUGACCUUUCUUAUCUCUCAUUUAUCUUUGGCUGCUAUCAACAUGUCAUCAAUAUAAAUGAGUAUAUACACAAAAGAACCAUCACUAUUUUUCUUAAAGUAAACACAACUGUCAAAGCUACUUCUUUUAAAAUCAUGAGAAGUCAUAAAGGAAUCAAACCUCUUAUACCACUGUCUUGGUGACUGUUUCAAACCGUAAAGAGACUUUUUCAGCAAGCAAACAUAGUCAUCUUUUUCUGAGACUGCAAAACCCUCUGGUUGUUGCAUGUAAAUAUCCUCCUCAAGUUCUCCAUGCAAAAAUACAAUUUUUACAUCUAACUGCUCAAGGUCCAAAUCAUACAUGGCCACAAUACCAAGCAAAGCUCUAAUCGAACUAUGCUUCACAACUGGAGAGAACACAUCUGUGAAGUCCACUCCUGGAAUUUGACUGUAACACUUUGCUACAAGCAUUGCUUUAUAUCUGGGUUCUUCAACUCUUAGAGUUCCCUCUUUCUUCUUAAACACCCAUUUACAACGAACAAGCUCUUUACCUUUAGGAAGUUUCACAAGAUCCCAUGUUUUAUUUUUUUUGUAGUGAUUCCAUCUCCUCUUGUAUAGCAAACAUCCACUUUUCUGAGUCUUCACAACUAACCGCCUUAGAAUAAUUAGAUGGCUCUUGGUUUGCAUCUAUAUUUUCAGCCACAUUUAAAGCAUAAGUAACUAUAUCAGCCCCGGCAUACUUCUUUGGAGGUUUAAUUUCUCUUUUAGUUCUGUUUUUGGAGAUAGAGUAUUAUGCUGAAGAAGCAACUCUAUUUUGAAUUUUUGUACUGGCUUCAGUAGUCAAUUCUGUUGUAGAUUCUGUAUUAAUCUGAUGCUCCACCUACUUUUGAUUUUCUUUAUUGGAAGAGUCUUUAAGAGAUAAGUUAGGUAGCAUAGUAGUUUCAUCAAAAACAAUAUCUUUGCUAAUCACAACUUUUCUAUUUUUAGGACAUCAUAACUUAUACCCUUUUACACCAGCUUUAUAACCAAGAAAAACACAUUUAAUGGAUCUUGGUUCUAAUUUUCCAUUAUCAACAUGAGCAUACGCAGGAGAACCAAAGAUCUUUAAAUCAGAAUAGUCAGUAGGAUUACUAGACCAUAUCUCUUGUGGAGUCUUUUUCUCAAUGGCAACGGAUGGAGAUCGGUUGAUCAAAAAACAUGCAGUAGAGGCUGCUUCGGCCCAAAAUGACUUUGGUAAGUUGGCAUUUAACAACAUACAUCGAACCUUCUCCAUGAUCGUUCUAUUUAUUCGUUCUGCAAUACCGUUUUGCUGUGGAGUAUAACGAACUGUCAAGUGUCUCACGAUCCCUUCUGACUUGCACAGUUUAUUAAAUUUAUCAGAACAGAACUCUAAGAUAUUGUUUAUGCAGAGGUAUUUUAUUUGCUUUCCCGUCUGUUUUUCAAUCAUGGUUUUCCAAGACUUAAAUGUGAAAAACACAUCGCUUUUCUGCUUCAGGAAGAACGCCUACACUUUUCUGGAAAAAUCAUUAAUAAAAGUUAGCAUAUAAUUAGCUCCACCUCUCGAAGGUACUUUGGAUGGCCCCCACAAGUCAGAAUGAAUAUACUCCAAUGUUCCCUUUGUGUUAUGGAUUCCUAUAAUGAAUCGAACUCUCUUUUGUUUCCCAAAAAUACAGUGCUCACAGAACUUCAGUUUGCAAAUUCCUUGCCUAUCAAGAAGUCCUCUUUUGUUCAAUUCUGUCAUGCCAUUCUCACUCAUAUGCCCUAGGUGCAUAUGCCAAAGUUUAGUAAUAUCAUCAUCUGGCAAGGAAGAGGAUACGACAGUUGCAUCAUCAGUAACAGUAGAACCCUGCAAAAGAUAUAACUUGAAAGCUUUAUCUGCCCUUUCAUUACAACGAGAGAACCUUUAGAAAUCUUCAAAACCCCACUUUCAGCUGUGUAUUUGUACCCUUUUGAAUCAAGAGUACUCAAUGAAAUUAAAUUUCUCUUCAAUUCUGGAACAUGCCGUACGUCAUUAAGUGUUCUGACAACUCCAUCAAACAUCUUAACUUUAAUUGUUCCAACACUUGUAAUUCUACAUGGAGCAUUAUUUCCCAUCAAAACAACACCUUCAGACACUAUUUCUUAAGUUGUAAACCAAUCCCGAUUGGGACUCAUGUGGAAGGUGCAGCCCGAAUCAAGGAUCCACUCCUCGCUCACUUUAAAAUUGUUCACAGAAGCAACUAGAAGUUGACCAUCGCUGUAGUCUUCUACAACAUCAGUCUUACUAGAAUUUUCUGGUUGUUUUCCGUUUUGAUUCGCAACUUCCCUUUUGAUCUUGUUCUGUAGGUUAUAGCACUUAGAUUUAAUGUGCUUUUUCUUCUUGCAGAAGUUACAAGUUUUACCUCUAUUUGAAGACUUCGAUCUACUUUUAGAUUUAUCGCGAGGAUUCUGUUCCUGUGUCCUUCCACGAUCAUCAUCAACAUUUCGAUCUUGUCUCCCACGAACAAUGAGACCCUCUUCUUGAGAGUCAUUUUUAACCACAAGAUGCUUCAUCUUAUCAUUCGAGGUUAAAGAAUCAUAAACCUCAUCAACUGUGAGACAGGGGCAACAAACAAAGUAGAAUAAGACAGGGGCAACAAACAAAGUAGAAUCAACCCUAGAUCUUCCUUAUCAUACUGAACCUCCAUGGCCUCCAAAUUUGAGAGAAUUUCUUUAAACACUGUCAAGUGUUCGUGCACAAACGCAUCUUCCUCCAAACGAUGAGCAUAAAGACGCUGCUUCAUAUGCAGCUUACUGGUUAGAGUUUUCGACAUACAUAUUUGUUCCAACCUCUUCCAUAAUCCAACAGCGGUCUUCUCCUUCAUCACAUCCUGUAAAAUUUCGUUAGACAGAUGCAGAUGUAACUGUAUUAACGCUUUUCGAUCCUUACACUUGUUCUCUUCCUCCGUCAAUGUUGAAGGCAUCAUAUCUACCCUUAGUAGGGCUUCCUCUAAGUCCAUCUGUGCAAGAACUGCCUGCAUCUUUAUCUGCCACAACGUGAAUCUGGUGUUGCGAUCUAACAACGAAAUUUCAUACUUCAAAGACGUCAUUACCGUGAUUGAGAUGAACAACCCAGAAGCUCUGAUACCAAUUUGUAGAAAUAUAACUUUGGUAAUGACAACAUAUCGUAAAAAAAUAGAAAUAAAAAUAAAAAACACACAGAUUUUACGUGAAAACCCUUUAGAGAAAAAAACCACGGGCAAAGAAGAAGAAAAUUCAAUAUGUCGAAUUCGAAUUGAUUACAAGAGGAGUAGACUAUGUCUAUUUAUAGGCUUGUAAAACCAUAUUCUAAUAGGAGUGAAACACCUUAUUCUAAUCAAUAUCAAAUAGAUGAAUUUUAAUAAGGUUUAAAAAAUCUUAUUCUAAAAUAAAAUAAAAGAAUUAUAAUUAUAUAGGGAUUUUACUUUUAUUUUAUUUUACCACAGUAUUUUAUUUAAAUAAGGAUUCGGAUCACUUAAUUCUAACAUACUAAACUUAGUUACAUUAGUUAAUUAUAUUAGUUUACUUAAUUAAUCUAUCAUCAUUAUAGCGUCCACUAAGUCUUAUUUUAAUAUGGUCUAAUUUUCGUUUUGGACUUUUGGUUAAUUGUAAUUUGGGUCCCCAAGUUAUUUUCUAAUUAAAAAUCUAUAGCAAUUAAACUUGUACAAUAUAGUCCCUAAACCUUAAUUAAUCACUAAUUCGGCUAAAUUAUUUAUUCAAAAUUCAAUUCAUCGAUACCCUAGCUCCUUGAAUAUCCUUAUUUUACAGACUCGAUUUACGAAAAUAAUAUCUCAAAACUGCAUUUUUCAACACAACUGAAACCAGGUCGUUAUAGAAAACUAUUAACAAAAAUGGAACUUGAAAAGCUCAUACAAACAUUUUUUAUUGAAAUAAUUACAACUUGGCUGGUGUUGGAAAAUAUGAUGUCAUCAAUGUUGUAUUUAAUCAAACUAAUAAGAUGGAUGAAUCUAGGGAAUCUAGUAGUUAUUUAAUUAACUAUAUACAUGAAUGUACAUAUCUAAGAUGCACGAAUAUAGUAGAUCAAGAGUCACAUUAAGAUGUAUGUGUAAAAAAUUAAGUCACUUGUAGCAAUUAUAUAAAGAGUUGUAAGAUGAGCCAUUGUGAGAAUGUAGAAGAAGAUUGUAAGAGAAUAUGAUGUGAAAAAAUAAAAAUGAAAUUUCAUUUCAUCUUGAGUAUCUCUUUCCUUCACCAUCACUAUCUCUAGAAUUCUCUCCAACAAAGUCAACAAUGAAAUGAACAUAGUAAUUAUACAAAGUUACAAACACAAAGUCUUAAUGGAACCUACUUAAUUUAGUGGAAGGUAGGUUCUGACUCUUCUAAUUCAAUACUUUCAUCAGCAAGUCUCAUAUCCUUAUACACAUACCAUUUAGCAAAAAUCAAAUAAACUGCCAAAUUCAAAGAACUUAGAAUUACCAAAAGCCAAUAGAAAUCGUAGUCUCCCUUGGUUCAAAUUGUCUGGCAGCCAUGGAUGCUUGUUUCGAGUGACCUUGUCAACUAUAGUAACCAACAAAGAACUAAGGAAAAACCCUAACGAAAGUGUACUAAGAAAUAAACCCGUACUCAUUGUUUUCAUCCCUUUUGGACACUCCCUUAAGAAAAAAUCAAGUUGACCUAUGUAUGUAAAGGCUUCACCGGCCCCUACAAACAGAAACUGAGGGACCAACCAAAAGACACUUAAUGGGAUUUGAGCUGUGGGGUUGUUCGUAAGGCCGUUCCUGGUUGCCGCUAUCAACCGCUUUAUCGCGGUCAAUGCUGCUCCUACCAUUGCUAUAAUGGAUAAAACUAAGCCAACGGCAAUCCUUUGCAAAGGGGUUAAGCCUUGUGGGUUUUUGAGUACUUUUCUAGCGAUUGGGACGAUAAGCCUAUCGUAAAUUGGGACCGUCAAGAGAAUGGCUCCAACGAAGAACACCGUGAGUGAUGCUGGUGGGAUUUGAAAUUUGCCUAUAUGACGGUCCAUGGUUGUGGCUUGAGACACUGAAAAUGUUGACAUUUGGGCAUAAACGGUCCAAAAUAUGAUAGUGGUUGCCCAUAUAGGUAACAUUCUUAGCACCAAUUUCACUUCUUCAACAUCUGUUAAAGUAGCUAAGUUCCAUUUAUUUGCCUUUAUAACAGAUGGGUCCUCGAUAGCUGCCCUAUCCAAGAAACUGUACACAAUUCGAAACCAAUAAAAAAAAGUAGCCAAUAAUAAUAAUAAACUCACUGCCAAUUCAUAUACACGAUCCCCCCUGUUUUUUAAUUCCUUAAACACCCACAUAAAUAUUUUAUGGUAUAAAAUUCGUUGCCUGUGUUUUGUUUUUCAAUUGAAUCGAGGACAUAAAAAAUGACAGUCAGACAUGUUUGUCGAAUUACAUAUCUGGUUUCAUAAAAUUAACUUAGAUUUGAAUCUGAGACUAAAAAGGCAAAGAUAGAAGAAGCCAAAAACAAAUAGAGGGUUGUCUUUGGAUUCAUGAAUUGGACUAUUGAUAUAAAUAUCUUUGUCCUGAAGUGAGAUAGGGUUGCCAAAUAAAUAUAAAUACCAGAAAAAAAUAAUAUUUUAUGUAUAAUUUUCUUUACAAGUGUUUGAUAUAUAAAUUUUAUAUUUUUAAAUAUCUUAUAUACAUAAAAAUUUUCAAAAAUAAAAUUUAAAAUUUAAAGUACAUGAAAAAAUAGAUUAAAAAAUCAAAAAUAUAAAAAUAAUUCAUAAAAUAAAAAUAUAAUAAAUUUUAGUUUUUUUUUGUCUCUAUAUAUAAGCUCUAAAAAAUUGCAAUAAUUUAAAAAAUAUUUGAUACAAAAAAGUAUAACAAAAUUUUAAAAAUUGAAAAGGGAAUUGAAUUAAGAAAAAUAAAAAAAGAAUAUAAAUAUUUAUUUAUUAGAAUUUUUUUUUCAAAAUCCAAAAAAUAUUAGUAGUUGACCGGUACUGACAUGAUAGAAUUUUGAAGCUUUAUUUUAAAAAAUUAUUUUUAAAUUUUUAAAAAUUAUAAUUUUUUUCUGUGAGAAAAUAAUUUUAAAAUUUUAAAAAAAUUAUAAUAUAUAAAUUAUUAUAUUCUUUUUAUUUUUCAUAAUUUAGUUAUUUUUUCGAUUUUAAAUUUUUUAUUAUACUUUUUUUGUAAAAAAUAUUUUUUAAAUUAUUAAACUUUUCUUGAGCUUAUAUUUAUAGACAAAAAAUCUAAAAUUUAUUAUAUUUAUAAAUUAUUUUUGAAUUAUUUUUAUAAUUUUUUAUUUAUUUUUAUAAUUUUAAUCUAUUUUAUAAAGUUUUUUAUUUUUUUAUUUUUUUUUGAAAAUUUUAUGUAUUUUUAUAUGUUUAUUUAUUGUAAUUAUAAUUUUUAUGAAUUUCAAAAAUAAAGAUUAAAGUAAAGGAAUGUGUAAACAUUUGGGUUAAAUUUGUAAUUAAGGGCUAAAUAUAUUAUUAUAUCAAUCAAAAACUGGCCACGUCAUCAUUUCGUAUGGGGACUAAUGCAUUUUAAUAGUGGAGUGACUAAAAUAAGAAAUUAACUCAACGGGAGAGACUAAAUUAAUAAAAAAAAAAUUAGGUGACCAAAAUAAAAGCACCUAAAACUUGGGUGACAAACUGAGUGGUUUACUCUAUUUUUUAAAUUAAAAUUAUUGGGAAUUAACAUCAAUAUUUUUUGUCCUAUUUCCGUUGAUUUAUGGUAUACAUACUUUUUUAAGGUAAACUAAUUCCAGAUUGAAAAUCAAUAACUUGUUUUCUAGUCUUUGCGUUGCUUAAGAUGCCUUUGGACGCAUGGUGGUAGAGAAUGGUUGAUUCAGGGGCAAAAGUUUGGGAGGUGAAAGUUAAAAAAUUUGUUGAAAAAAACUUAAAUUGAAUAUCUCAUAAUCAAAAGGGACUAAAAGGGAUAUUAUGUUCCUUAGCUAACAAAGCCUAACUUCGCCCUGAGUUGAUUAAUUGUAAUAUUUUGUUUAAUAAUUGUGGGUAUCCUCGUUUGAUUUACAAUUUAAUAAUAAUUUUAUUCGGAUAAGAUGAUAUUAAGAUAAACCUUCCUAAUAGUGAUGAUUUCAAGACUAUUAGUUUUAAUGGUAGUGUUUGAGUACUGCAUUAAAGAGAUAUUUGUAACCAUAAAAAAUAUUGGGUUUUAAAUAGAAGACUAACCGGAACUGUUUGGUGUGUGGCAAUUUUUGCUGCUUCUUCAUCAUUAAUCCCUCAGCUGCAUCAUCAAUAUUGUUGGUUUUUUGAUCAACAACAAGGUUAAAAACAAUCAAAACCGAUUGUUUAAGUGUUUGAAAGAUUAAAACAGAAGCAAAAACAGGAAGAAAAGCGAAUGAACAAAGUGUUUUCUUCAUUACCGGAAUAAGAACAAUGUUACAUACAUAAAUAGUUCAAAAACACAUUGAAAGAAAACAAAGCUUGCUUGUGCAAGUAUCUAAAGGUUUACAUCAACAUAAUGACAACCUAAAUGACUACUAAAUCAGCUAAGCACACAAUUAAUCUUAGCUAACCAAGGCAAAAAAUGAUUACAACAUUAACUAGCAAAAGUCAACUGAAUAAAACAGGCUACUGUCGAAUUGCACCAUGGACAUUAGCAUGCUUCAGCUGUGUUCCUGGUUCCCUGCAUGCAACGUCUACCUUGCAUGGUUUCUUGCAUGUUGCUGCUGUUGUUGCCACCUUUGAAAACUCCUCCUUGGCUACAAAGCAGCAAACUCCUAUCUCAUCCUUCAAAUGCUCAAGUCUCAGAGCAGCUAAUGGUUUGGUCAAUAAGUCAGCAAGCUGAUCUUUCGAGCAGCAGUGAACUAAGUUUACCUCUUUGGACAUUUUAGCCUCCCUCACAAAGUGAUAUUUGAUUUUAAAAUGCUUGGUCUUUCCAUGAAAAACUGGAUUUUUAGCAAUGGCAACAGCAGAUUGAUUGUCAACCUUAAUCACUAUUGCUUCCUUUUGAUCAGCAUUCAAAUCACACAACAUUUUCCUAAGCCAAAUGGCUUGAUUUAUAGCAGAGGCAGUAACAAUAUACUUAGCCUCAGCAGUGGAUUGAGCCGCUGUCUGUCGCUUCUUCGAGCUCCAGCAAAAAACACCUGAACCAAGAGUGAAGAAGUAACCUGAUGUACUCUUCAUGUCAUCAGUUGAGCCAGCCCAAUCACUGUCUGAAUAUCCCACCAGCUUCAACUCCUCAGCUCUUUCAAACUUCACUCCAUAUUUCAAAGUCCCUUUGACAUACCUUAGGACCCUUUUUGCUGCUUUAAAAUGUGCAACAGUGCAGCAGUGCAUGAACCUCGAUAGAAGACCAACAGCAUAAAUGAUGUCUAGCCUAGUUGCAGUCAAGUAGAGUAGGCAACCAACCAGGCUUCUGUAAUUCUUUUCAUCCACUCGAUCUUCAUCACCAUGGCUUGAGAGUUUUUCUCCUAGUGCCAUAGGAGUGCUAGCAGGCUUGCAGUUUGACAUGCAAAACUUGCUCAAGACCUUUGAUCCAAAAGCCUUCUGGCUUAUGAAAAUGCCUUGCUCGUUCUGGUUCACUUCCAUACCAAGGGAGUAUGUCAUCAAGCCAAGAUCAGUCAUCUCGAACACACUUUGCAUUUGCUUCUUAAAAAUCUCAGUUAGCUCAUUUUUGCAACCAGUGACCAACAAAUCAUCAACAUACAGAGACACGAUGAGCAAAGUCUCCUCUCCAUCCUUCUUAACAUAAAGAGUAGGCUCACUAGUACUCUUUGUGAACCCAAGCCUUGUCAAGUAGGCAUCUAUUCGAUCAUACCAGGCUCUUGGAGCCUGUUUUAGGCCAUACAGGGCCUUCUUGAGCUUGUAAACCUUUUGUUCCUCUCCAUGAACCUCGAAGCCUUUAGGUAUCUCUAUGAAGAUUUCCUCCAUGAUAAAUCCAUUUAAAAAUGCUGAUUUGACAUCCAGUUGAUGCACCUGCCAUUGUUUUUGAGAUGCUAAGGCAAAUAACAACCUUAUGGUAUCCAGCCUUGCAACAGGAGCAAAGGUUUCAAAGAAAUCGACUCCUUGCUGUUGACUGUACCCUUUCACAACUAAUCUGGCCUCGUGUUUGUUCAGUGAUCCAUCUGCAUUGUUUUUUAUCCUGAACACCCACUUGACUCCAAUGAUCUUCCUAUUUUCUGGCCUAUCAACCAGCUCCCAAGUGUCAUUCUUUUGGAUAAUCCUUAGUUCAGCUUCCAUAGCUUCUUUCCAGCAUCUCUCUUUUGCAGCUUCAUUAUAGCAGGAUGGCUCAACCAUGGUCACAGCACAUCUUUCAUAGAUGUCUGCUAGUGUCCUAGUGCCUCUGACAGGCAUAUCAUCACAAUCAUCCAUAGCAUCACUUUCAAUUUCAACAUGCUGCAGAUCAAGGUCCUGUAAGUCUUCUUCAGCUAAGCUUGCAUCUGUCUCAUUCUGUUUCCAACAGCUUCCUCUAUUGAACUUGACAUCUCUACUCAUAAUAACUUUCUUGGUAGAUGGAUCAAAGAUCCUAUAACCCUUCUUCACACUACUGUAGCCAACAAACACCUCUGGCAUAUACUUUCUCUCCAGCUUAGUUCUCUUCUCUACUGGCACCAAUGCAUAGCACAAGCAUCCAAACACCUUCAAGUGUGACACAACUGGUUUCUGUCCAAACCAGGCUUCAAAGGGUGUUUUACCCUUAACUGCUUUAGUUGGCGAUCUAUUCAGCAAGUAAACAGAUGUGUUUACUGCUUCUACCCAGAAGUUGUUGGGCAUUUUGGCCUCAAACAGAAGGCAUCUGGCCAUAUCGAGGACAGUCCUGUUCCUCCUUUCACAAACACCAUUCUGCUGUGGUGUGUAGACAGUAGUCAGUUGGUGUAGAAUACCAGCUUCAUCACAGAUCUUCUGGAACCUCUAAGACACAUACUCAGCUCCAUUAUUUGACCUCAAGAUUUUAAGCUUACUGUUGGCUUAGUUCUCAGCUAAAGCUUUAAACUUGCAAAAGAAGUCAGUAACACCUGACUUUUGUUUCAAGAAGUUUACCCAAUAGAAUCUGGUGCAGUCAUCAAUGAACAGGGCAAAAUACCUGCAGCCAUUUAAUGAGGUGGUCUUCAUUGGUCUACAAAUGACUGUAUGAACCAAUUGAAGUUUCUAUUGGGCUCUCCAUGCCUUUUUGACUGGAAAAGGCAAUCUGGUCUGCUUGCCAAGCUGAUAGACUUCAUAUACUUCUUUCUUUGGUUCAAACUUGGACAUUUCUUCAACCAAAUUCAGUUUUUGCAAUUGCCCGAGUGAGUUGUAGUUGACAUGCCCCAGUCUUUUGUGCCACAAACUUGCUUCAUCAGCCUGAGCUGCAUAUACCCUUGCUUGUAACUAAUUCACAUCUACAUUGAAAGUUCUAUCUUGCAUGGCUACUGCUGUUAACACUUGGUCAGUAACAUCUUUGAUUACACAGGUUUUGCCUUCAAACAAGAGAGAAUAACCCUUCUCCAAUAGCUGACCAACACUCAACAAGUUUUGAUCAAUGUCAGGUACAUAAAGAACCUCAGAAAUAGUUUUGAUACCUAACUUAGUGCAAAUCACAACCUUACCCUUACCUUUGGCCUUGAGAAGCUCACCAUUUCCAAUUCUGACUUUGGACUCAAAAGAGGUGUCAAGCUCCCUGAACAUACUUUCAUCUGAAGCCAUAUGAUGAGUGCAUCCACUAUCAAUCAGCCAAAUCUUGCUGACUUUGCUCGAGCUUGCAAAAUAGGAGGCUGUGAAGACAUGUUCUUCCUGUGCCUCAAUGUCCUCAGCAGCUUGAGCUUGAUUCUGAUGCUGUGAGUGAGAUUUUGGUUUGUUUUUUCACACUUUUUCAAUGGGGCCAAGCUGUUUGCAGCCUCUACACUGAAUGCCAGGCCUGUACCAGCAAUAUUUCUCAAGGUGAGUUGUUCUUUUGCAGUGAGCACAAGGUAGAAAUUUCUUCCUGAUAGCUUCCUGCUUCCCUCUUUCUUUCUUCUCUGACCAAGGCUUCUUGCCUUUGUGAUUUGAGCUCGAGCUUGAGCUCUCUCUGCUCCUGGCUUGAAAAGCACCCUCAGAAUAAUCCUCCAUUCUGUUUGCUCUUGUGCAUAGAGAGCAUUUAUCAGCUCUGUCAAGGGAAUGGCUGAUAAGUCCCUCGAGUCCUCCAGGGAAGAAAUCUUUGAUUCAUACUUCUCUGGCAGGGUUGUUAUGACUUUCUCAACUACCCUUUGAUCACUAAAAUCAUCCCCAAGUAGUCUUAUAUUGUUGACAGUAGCCAUAAUUCUGUCAGCAUAAUGCUUGAUGGUUUCUGAGUCUUUUAUUCUCAGAUUCUCAAAAUCCCUUCUCAAGUUGAUCAGUUGCUGCUGCCUGGUCUUGUCUGAUCCCUGAAACUCCUAAUUGAGUUUAUCUCAGGCCUCCUUUGGUGUGUCACAGGCCAUUAUCCUUAUGAAGAUAACAUCUGAAACUCCACUUUGAAUGCAUGACAUGGCCUUGUACUUCUUUGAACAGUCUUCAUUGUGCUGCCUUAUUUGAGCUAUCUUUGGAUUAACUCUCAAAGGUGGUGGCUCUGUAUCAUUUUGAACAACAUUCCACAGGUCAUAUGUCUGUAGAUAUGUUUUCAUUUUUACAGCCCAUAUGUUGUAACUUUCAUCAGCAAACACAAGUGGAGGAGGUGGUGAAAAACUCAUCUUCACGCAGCUUCCAAAAACAAAUCAGCAAAGGUAGCUCAUGUUUCUUUUCUUUCAAGCACUUGGCUUCAACAAACACAGCACACAACAAGAGGCCCUCAAAGACAACAGGCUCUCGAUACCAUUUGUUGGUUUUUUUAUCAACAACAAGGUUAAAAACAAUCACAACUGAUUGUUUAAAUGUUUGAAAGAUUAAAACAGAAGCAAAAACAGGAAGAAAAGUGAAUGAACAAAGUGUUUUCUUCAUUACCGGAAUAAGAACAAUCUUACAUACAUAAAUAGUUCAAAAACACAUUGAAAGAAAACAAAGCUUGCUUGUGCAAGUAUCUAAAGGUUUACAUCAACAUAAUGACAACCUAAAUGACUACUAAAUCAGCUAAGCACACAAUUAAUCUUAACUGAACAAAGCAAAAAAUGAUUACAACAUUAACUAGAAAAAGUCAACUGAAUAAAACAGGCUACUGUCGAAUUGCACCAUAGACAUUAGCAUGCUUCAGCUAUGUUCCUGGUUCCCUGCAUGCAACGUCUGCCUUGCAUGGUUUCUUGCAUGUUGCUGCUGUUGUUGCCACCUUUGAACAAUAUUGAAGAGCAAAUAUGGAUUCGAUGGCAACUUCAAAUGCUUCUUCCUCCAAGCAGCUACGAACACUGCAGCAAUUUAGGUCAAUGGGCUCCCCACUAGUUUCUUAAACCAGUAUCGCUUUGUACCUGAUAGAAACACAACUAACCCUAUCACAAUAGCGCAAGCAAUAAUACAGUAACCCCAAUCACGCCCUAAAUUAUCUUGGAUGUAAACUAAAAUGGUGACUGAAGAAAGUGAACCUAAGCUUAUGAAGAAAAAGAACCAAUUGAAGAAGUUGCUCAUCUGGGAUCUCUCUUCAGGAUCCGUAUCAUCGAAUUGGUCUGACCCGAACCCGAAAACGCUCGAUUUUAGACCCCCAGUCCCAAGAGCUGUGAGGUAAAGGGCUAAGUAAAGAACAGAGAGUUGUAUGCUGCUUGCUGGGGUGCAAAUCGUGGUGAUAUCCUACCUGUUACACUUUGGUGGCCUUAGGGUUGGGAUUAUUGUUGAGACUGUUAAUAUGGUAACACUCUGCAAACGAUUAUGCAAAUGAUUUUCAAAUGCAAAGUGAAGAUGAUGAUUUUAAGUCAAAAGGAAAAUGAAUAUUAUCUUACUGUUGCUUGAAUGGCGGUGAAGAUUCCGAUGGUGAAAUAUCUGUGGAUUUGAAAAUGAAUAAUGUUAUAAAGUGAUACGUGCAUGAGAAAAGUAUACUAGAAAUUAUCGAAGUACAUUGGACGAGACCUACCGAGGAAGGUGUCAGUGAUGAAACCAACGAGUAGACAAAGCAUGAAAGAUGUGCCGAAGAAAUUGGUAACGAUGUUGGCUGUUGUAGCAUUUCCUAAAUGCAUGGUUUCCGUCAAGUAUGUCACUAAGUUAACAGCGAUUCCUAAUGUUGUUAACCUCUCACAUGCCUCAACACCUUAGAUAGAUAGAUACAUAGAGAAAAAGGAUAUAUAUUGAGAUCCCAUUGUUUGUUUAGACCAAAACCAAAGCUAAAGAGGGGCAAUAAGGAGGGAUGAUAAAAGAUGAACCUAGAAUCAUGGCGGCGCUGGUCCAACCGCCGAAUUUGGACCGGUCGACAGGAUAGCCCUUGUAGUCCCAAGCAUCGGGGACUGUUUGCCCUUGUGUUGUAGGAAGGGUCAUUGGUUGAUACAAGGUGAAAAAGGGUGGUAGAUCGGAGAGAAAAGAGAGUGAUGACGACACAAGGAGAGCAAAGGCUGAUGGAUGUAUUUAUAGUGAAGAAUUACAAACUACACACCCAAAAAAGAAUUACUUAAUCACUACUUUAAUAUAUUUUGUUAGGUAGUUAUGAUGAGAACCCGAAAACCAAAUAAGGUUUGGGUCACUCACUUGCUACUCGAAAAUUCGCAAAAUAACUUGCAGUAUCAGGUCGCAUAUACUCAAGGAGUUCAUAUGUGGGGGCCACGAAGUUCAAUAGCCAACUCAGAACGGUAUAUGUGUCUUGCAUGCAUAAAGUCUAUCAAGAACAUCAAUUCUAUGAACAAUAGUCAUGUAUAUAAAUAUUGGAUUAUCCCUUCUAAUAAGAUACGACAAAAAAUUACUCAACAUACUUAAUUUAAAAUUUAUAUAUAUAAAAAAAAAACAUAGAUUACUCUACAACAAAAUUUUAAGCUUUUGAAAUUUUAAUAUUUACAUUUGACACUUUUCUGUUUAAUGCUUCGGAUGGAUCCAAAUAUCGAAAGUGUGUUUUUUUAUUAUGUUCUUCGGAUUAGUGACAGUGGAAAAUCCUACUGGAAUUUGAUUUGGAACGUGGGAUGUUCCACCCUAAUAUUGAGAUGUUCGUUUGGCGACUAUUAUGAGGUACAAUUCACACCAAAAAUGAGCUUAUCAAAAGAGGAAUUACUCGGUUUAAUUCUGAUUUUGGUCCCCUAUGUUACACAAAUCACGAAAACAGUCAAGCAUUUUAUUUUUUUUAGGUUGUGUUGUUUCUUGGUAUGUUUGGCAAAACCUAAGUGAUAAUUAUAUAUGUCAAAUUCUGUUAUUAAAUCUUGUAUUUUGUGUAAAUUGUAUAUUUAGUACAUGUAUUUUAAUUUGAUCAAUUUUAAUCUUUAUAUUUUUUGAAUGUUAGAAUUUGUCUUCAUCCAAUGGUAUAGCAGUUAAAUCUAUUUGCUUAAAUUAUGUCAUUAGUCUUGUAUUAUGCGUAAAGUUAUAGAUUUAGUCUAUGUUCACCAAUUAGAUAAUUUUUAGUGGUUACAUUUUUUAAAUUUUAAAUUUUCAAUAUUAAUGCAAAUGAAAGUUGUUAAACCCAUUAACUAAUUUUUUGUGAUUAAUAUAUGACAAUAACAAAACAGAUAUAACAUUACACAUGUGAUAAUAUGUUCGACACAUUAAAUUUUAAAAAAUAGCAUAAUUUAUCUAAAUGAAGUUAAUAGUUAUCAUUUGGUUAGGACUAAAAUUUUUAAAUUCUAAAAGUACAAGAACUAAAAAUAAUCAAAUUAAAAUAUAGGUACUACAUUCAUAACUUACGCAAAGUAGAGGCUCUAAUAGCAUAAUUUGACCUUAUAUAGGGAAUAUCUCUUGUUCUACCGAGAAAUCCAGUGACCCUUUUUUCUCCAAGGGAGCAAAAGUGUUGAAGCCAUUUGGAAUGCAGCUAUUGGUCGUGGUCAGAGUGGCUUAUCCAUUAUUUAGCUUUGAUGUAGUUUGCAUUAUACCUAGGUAAUUAAAUUAUUAAUAAAUUUAUAUUUUAGUCAUUUAAUUUUAAAAAGUUACAUAACUGUCAUUGAAUUAUUUAAAAGUUUUUAUUUAAGUCAUUAGGUUGUUAAAAACAUUAUUAUAUGGCCUUCUCUAUUUGCACUUCCUACACCAAGCGAAAAUUUUAUUUUCCCUUCUCUUUUACAGUUUAAUUUUUUACAUAAAAUAACUUUGAACGUUACGAAUUUACGAACUAAAAUACAAACCAUUUACUUCGAGUUUGUUUGCAUUUGUUAGUGCAAAAGUGUUUGUGAAGAACAAUGUGGUCUUGUAGGGAAUGCAUUUGGCUUCUCAUUAGUAAAUAAACUAAUAUCAUGUUGAACCAACACUUUUUAUUGGAUUAAUUAUUUUCCACUACAUUAUAAAAUAAAAAUUUUAAAAUUACAAUAUAUUCUAAAUUCUUGUAUUCUUCUUAUCUUUAGAAUUUAGUAUCCUUCAAUUUUAAAAUCAAAGCAAAUUUAAGUAAUGAUUAUUCUAUGCCUCAAAUUCCUAUACACUAUAAAUUAAUAUAAAAUAACAAAAUUUAUAUUCAAAUAUGUAAUAUAUAAAUCUGUAAAAAAAAUUUGAAUAGUUAAUUUUUGUUAUACAUUCGAUGACUAUAUAUAAGUUAGGAUUGCAUUAGGUAUAGAUUAUCUUGGGUUAUAUUAUGGUAUUGAUCACCUUACUAUGCUUAAAUUUAUAAUUUAAUUUGUGUACUUUCAUUUGAUCUAAUUUGGUCCCUUUAAUAUUAUAAUCUCAUUAAUUAGUCUGAACAAUUAACACCCUUAGUGAUUUUUUUUAAACACUUAUUCUAAUUUAUCAAGCCGAAAUGAAACUUUUUUUAUUAUAAUAGUAUUUAAAAAUUCACAUCAAUAAUUUAAUCGAAUAAUUAAAUAUUUAGACUAAUUAAUAAUAUAAUAAAAAUAUAAAAACCAAGUUAUAUUAAAACUAAAAAUAGAGAAAUUAAAUUGUAAAUUUAAGCAUAAUAAAAAGAUAAACUGAAAUUGACUUUUUUUUAUAAUGAAAAAAAAAACUUAGUUGGACACAUUAGUUUAUAUAGAUUAUAUAGAUCGAUGACUUUCCAAAAAUAACAAUAUUUUUUCUCAAGGAAAGAAAACUACGCAUUAGUCAUAUAAUCCUUUGAUAUUACUUCUUUUAGGAUAAAAAAUAGACAGAUGGAUAAACUAAUAAAUAUACAUGUGAAAUCUAAUUCAAAUUCAACAAUUUUUUAACUUAUUAAUACCAAUCUAGAUACAAUCCAAUAUUAUAUUCGGUUUUUUUUUUUAAGUUAGGUUAGUAUAAAUGUACAUUGAUAAGUACAAAACAAUUAUAAAUAUAUUUUUGAGCAAUUUUGAUAUAGAAUUAUGUACAAAAUAUGUAUAAGUGACAAUUUUUAAAAAUUGACUAAACCUGAUAGAACCGGACAAAACACACAUAAAAUAAUUGGCAUCACAAGUUAUUCUUCCUAUCGAAGAUAUAAUUUUUCCUUUUUAUCGUUUUGAUUCGAUUGCUAAUAAUAAUUCUUAAUUGAUUGUGUUUUAUUAGGAAUAAUGAUUCAGUAAAUAGAAGUUAGUUAGAAUAGUUAACAGUUAGUUAAUCAGUUGGUUAGUUAUUGUUAGCCAGCUGACUGUUCUUCCUGUACUGUAUUAAAUACUGCUCUUUUCCUCAUUAAUGAUUAUGUGAGAAAUAUUUCAACUAUGAUCUUGAUAUGUUUAGAUGAGAUAAAAGCUCAUUUGGGAGGAAAUGAAAGCUUUACCUUAUUUAGUAGGUGCUGAUACUAAGGAACAACAAUGAGGAGAUAGUGGAUGAAGAGUGAGGUAGGUGGGGUGGAGAGCCAUUAAUGAUUAGUUUCGAGAGGUGGCCAAAUGAAUUAGAGUCUUGGUCUAGUGUCCUUGGUCCCUUUACUCGUAUUCAUGAUCUUAUAUAGGUUGGUGAUCUCUUGGCUUGUGGUAUUACGUAGCGGGCUAUGUUGGCGGAUCGAAGGUUAGUGACCAAAAGAAUGUUGCAGGUUUCGAUAGGUUGGCACUAUGGUAUGUCUAGUGUGGUUCAACCUAUGUCCAAAUUGGUCUAAUUGCCCUUUGUUAUGACAGCUAACAAGUGGGCUCAUUUGUCAAGUUGGCUAUUAUCCUAAGGGUCCUCGCAAGAAUCUAGCACAUACUAUUCGGGAACCUUGUUACGAGCGGUCUUGGUGAGGUUGACGAGGUAUAACAAUUGCCCCAUGUUGAAAUGAAUAUUAUAAAGUGAUUUUCCCUAGAAAAAAAAAGUGGGCGGGAGUGUUGUGUUGCAAGGUAAGGUGCUAACAUGACAAUUGUGGAGCGUCAAACGAAAUGUAUUUCCAAAGGGUAUGGGCGAGUUUUUGUGAAGAGUGAAGUUAAACCGUACUUUCGAGGGAUAUGAGCUCGUUUUUCUUUUGUGAAGAGUGAAGUUAACGUAAUUCCUAUAAGUGUGAGCUAGUUUUGAGAAGAGUGAAUAUAUUUACAAUUUUUGUGUAGCGCUUUCAAAUUGAAGAAGCAACUUUUUGUGCAUAAUUGGCAGACCUUGGAGUUGGAUUUCCAAGUGCCACACAUUGUUUGUAUGUAUCUUUAUGGGCGUGUGUUACAAUGUAUCAUUGGGAAACAACGUUAAUAUUUUCUACUGUUAGACUUUUAAAAGCAUCGAUUGUUACAUUUUGAUUGGACGACGAAAUGUCAUGCCUGGUGGUGAAUGAAUACGCCCCAUGGCCAAAAGGUCUUUAUAUACUUGAGCUUUAGCUAUAAUAUUAUCAUUGGAGCUUUUAGAUUUUAUGAACUUUUCUUCUUUGAAAUCUCACUAUGCAAUCUUUGUUUUUUUAUGCUUUGAAUUUCUUCUUUUAGCAUUUCUUUUGAGUUGUAUCUUGUUCGUUACUAUGUUCUCUUUGAUCAAAGGACUUGUUUCUUUCACCAGAGUUAGAUUAAAGGCAAGUUCAAGCUUUUCCUUUUAUUUUUCAAGUCUUUGUUGGUGUAACACCCCUUACCCGUGUUCCUUGCAGGAACAGAGUAUGAGGUAUUACUAGAACUCAAACACUUAUAAAUUUUUCUUUUAUAAAAAUUUCAGCAGCAUUUCUGCUUAUUUUUACAUAAAACCCCCUGUAAAUUUUCAAAGAUAAUUUCAAACAACUUCAAUAUUUCCAACCAAUUAUAGUUAUAUGUUCAGACAUAAUUUAUCCAUUAAUAAACACCAACAUAUUAAACCGAACAAUACUGAAUAUAUACAUAUUUAUACCACAUUACAUAAAGUCAUCUAUACAUGCCAUGUUUCCAAAGUAUUAAUUGCAAAAUACCCAAAAAGUUGAUGAUAGUGUGGAUGAUUAUCUGACGUCGUCCAAGUUCCGAGCUGAUUGAUGUCACUAUAAUCAAGGGAAAAUAAAAACGAGUAAGCAUAUAGCUUAGUAAGUAAACAUAUGACCAAUAAAUAAAUUCCUCACAUGAUUACAUAGUAACAUAAUUUUAAUCACACAUAAAUUUCAUUGUUUGUUCAAUUUCCAGCAAGCUGUUUUUCUGCGUCACGGUCACUAAUUUAUUUUUAUCUGGAGCUACAGGGCUCCAAAUUAAGUUCCGUAAAUUUUCUUCAAAACUAGAUUCAUAUAACUUUCCACCAUAAAAUUUUCAGAAUUUUUGGUUUGGCCAAUUAGUACAUUUUAUUCUCUAAAGAUUCCCCUGUUUCACUGCUCGACAGUUCAAACAAUGUUCUCGUUUGUUUAUAUUAAAAAUAGACUCGUUAAGGAAUCCAAACAUAUAAAUUUCAGGCCAUAAUUAUGUUUUUACAAUUUAUGGUGAUUUUCCAAAGUUGGAACAGGGGAUUUCGAAAUCAAUUCAACCCUGUCUCAAUAAAAUUCAAAUAUCCCAAAAUAUACAACUCUUUUGCUUGCUCUAUUUCUUUCAUAUGAAAAUAAACUCAUCCAGCUUCAAUUUCAUAUAUUAUUCAACCUCUAAUUCAUUUUCCUCCAUUUAUGGUGAUUUUUCAAAGUUGCCCAACUGUUAUUAUUCAAAACAGUUUUGUAUUUAAAUUGUUCUUUUGUAUUUUUGAUAUUUCCUCCCAUAUUACAUAUGGGUUGAUUAAGUAUCAAACCCAAUAUUCCUCCCAUAAACUUGUCCACCAUAUAUAAAUAUUCACCUUUUCAAUUUCCUCGUUGAACACUCGGAAUGUUAUCCGUUAUCGGUGGAUUCAGCACUUAGCAACCACCAAUUAGUCGGGGAAUUAGCACUUAGCAACCCCUUUCACAUUUAAGAUACGGUGGGAUCAGCACUUAGCAACCCCUCGGGGGAAUCAGCACUUAGCAACCCCCUUCACAUUUAAGAUACGGUGGAAUCAGCACUUAGCAACCACCAAUGAGUCGGGGAAUCAGCACUUAGCAACCCCUUUCACAUUUAAGAUACGGUGGAAUCAGCACUUAGCAACCACCAAUGAAUCGGGGAAUCAACACUUAGCAACCCCCUUUAUAUUCGAUGUAAUCCGGCCUAUUCCGAGUGUUCAACCGGAAACCGUGUUUUUCAACACUUUACCACCUUUCCCAACUUAACCACACUUUUAGAAUCUUUGCCAAAUAUUUAAUCUAUGUUCAAAUAAAUCUCAACAUAUAUCAAAUAAUAUCAAAAAUAUGCAUUAUUUCACAUGUUUACUUACCUCGGUGCAAAAUAUCGUAAUUUUGCAAUUUACUCCACUAUCUUCUCUUUUCCCCGUUUGAGGUAGUCUUCUCAUCUUUCUUGAUCUAUAAUAGAAAAUUUAACUCAUUUAAUGUUAAAAUUUAAUAAAAUAGUCCUCCACCCAACUUUUUGAAAAAUUACAAUUUUUCCCCCAAACUUUUGAAUGUUUACACUUUUGUCCCUAAGCUCGGAAAUUAAAUUUAAUCUCUUAUUCUUAUGUUUUACAACAUGCUGAACACUUUUCCCUUCUAUGGAAACAUCAAAUUCUCACUCUAACACGUACUUUUGAACAUUAACUAUUUUUACCGAUUAUGUCAAUUUACACGUUUUGUUUAAAAUCGCUUAGCAAAAGUUGUUUAACAUAAUUUCUAGCUUCAUAUUCCACCAUAAAACAGCAAAAUAAAAACUUUUCACCUAUGGGUAUUUUUCCAAAUAUAAACCCUAGGUUAAAUUAUUGCUAGAAUAACCUAAAUUAAGCUACCGAGACUCCAAAAACAUAAAGAACAUUAAAAACGGGGCUUGGAAUCACUUACUAUUGAGCUUGGAAGCUUAAAAACCCUAACUAUGGCUUCCCCCUUGCUGAUUUCGUUCCCCAUGAAGAAGAUGAGCACAUUUUGCCAUCUUUUUCCCUUUUUAAUUAUUUUUAUUAUUAAAUGACUAAAAUGCCCCCAUUUAAAAAAUCUAUUUCACCCAUUUCUUAUGUCUAUUUUUGUCCAUCAAUUAACUAAUGGUCUAAUUACCUUAUAAGGACCACCAAUUUAUAAUUUCAUAACAAUUAGACACUUCUAACAUGUAGAACUCAACUUUUGCAUUUUUUACAAUUUAGUCCUUUUGACUAAAUUGAAUGCCCAAACGUCGAAAUUUUCGAACGAAAUUUUUACGAAAUUUUUCCGUAAAAUUGUAGAUCAUAAAAAAUAUAAUAAUAAUAAUAUUUUCCCUCGUCGGAUUUGUGGUCCCGAAACCACUGUUCCGACUAGGCCCAGAAUUGAGCUGUUAUAGUUGGGGUUCUGAUAGCCGGAGGAAAUUGGAGUGGUGAGGUUAGAUGUAGUGUCAGUACCAUCGGCGAUUGAAAGGCAAAAGUUCCUCGAUUGGUGAUAAAGGUAGUGGUCGGCGCUUCGUUCAAGUGCACCACAAGCAAUAGCGAGAUGCGAUGGCUGCUUCUAUGUCGUUGCAAGCGUUGUCAACUUCCUCUAUUGGGUGCUUUCCUAACUUCUACAGCCUCACACCAUUAAACCAAACGCGGUAUAAUGCGCUAUGCAUUGGGAACCCUCCGAACAUCCAUUGCACUAUUACUGUUCGGAAUGUGUGGAAACACUGCCUUGUAAGUGUCAGCCUAAAUGAUUACAAGGAUAAUGAUCAUGCAAGGGGUUUUGAGAAAAGUUCGCAAAGUGAACCAUCAUAUCAUCAUCAUUAUCAAAUGGAUUGUCGUUGUUGCUAACAACAUAGUCCUACAAAUGAUUAGGCAAUUGAUGUUGGCGAUGUGGCCGACUAGAAGUCUCUACAAUAUUGGUUGCAUAAUUUCUUCUUCUAGUGUUUUUGUUAAGUAUCAACACGAUCAACUUGAAAAUGCAUCUUCAUUAAAAAUAGUUUCUCUAGUCACUAUUACUUUUCUAGCCUAAGAGUUCUAUAACUUGUAACCUUUUAUCUCAUAAUUAACGGAAGAAAUGGUAAAAAAAUAUAUAUACAACUUUGGGGAAAAUGUGAUAAAUUUGAUUAGGUGUAUAUAAUUAGACAUAUAAAUACGCCUAGAGUAAUUUAACCCCUAUGCUUUUUUAUAGUGAGCAAAUAAGUACAAUCAAAUUAGUUACUUUCCCAAUUUUUUUAAAAAUUCUCAUUAAACCUUUCAAAAUUUUAAAAAAAAAUUAAUUAAAUCUUUUCAAAAUGUUUCAUAAAUUCUCACUAGGCUUUUAACUUUUUUUUAAAAUUUUAAUUAUACCUACAAACAUUCUUAAAAAAUAUUUUUAUUAAAUUCCGUAUAUUACUUUUACUUUUUGCGAUUUUGAUAGAUGUGAGAUGAAAACAAUAUUAAUUCAUGACUAGUUUUAAACUCAACUUUCUUAACUAUCUAUUUGGAGAUCAAAUUCUACAAGAUUGAAUGGCACCAUUGUUCCCACUUUAAACAACAAUCGAGCAAGUUUCUUGUGGAUAGUAGAAUUGUGAACUAUUGACAACCAAUUGUCCAAGAUUAAUGGCACUUCGUAUUCAUGAAUAUUCAAUUAAACACCUCCUAACCUUCAUUAAACUAGAUAAACACUUGUUAAAAAUAAAAACUAAUUAAAAGUUCUAAAAACAUUGAAAAUAGAAAUUAUGCAAUGAAUGUCAUGAGCAAGGCAAAACUAGUUAAAAUGGCAUGAAUUAAUGUAAAUUCACCUAAGAAUCAAGUUAAAUGAAAGUUAUAAGAAGUAUAAAAUAUAAUCAUGAUGAGCACUUAUCAACCUUGCAACUUAUGGUUAACUCUUAGACUUAGAGAAACAACUUCUCUUAAUCUAUAAUUCAAGGCUAAAGUCUUGAACAAUUAUCCAUAGUUAAAUUUAAGUGAUAUAGGCCUUCAAUAUCACUCAAAGUGGUAGAUUCUCUUUGGAUCACUCACCCACCUUCAAAUGAUUCGUGUUUUGAUGAAACAUUCUACCUUAAGCCUUCAUCUAUAAUGGACAUGUUUUAUGAUGAAUCAAAUUACAACCUUCCUCAUAUAAGAUGUUCCAAUAUCUCAAGCCAAUGGAUUAAUUUACAUUGUCACCACGUGAGGUGAAAAUAUUUUCCAAAAAUUUUAAGUGAUUCUCUUAAGUGAUUUCUCACAAUAAACUUGUUUCCAAGACAAGUACUCUUUGUUGCCCUGAAGUAUCUUAUAUACUUCAACAUAUGAAAUUGGUUGUAUGUAUCCUAUGCAUGAAGGCUUAAAACAUAAUAGUCUCUAGUGCAUUACUAAUGUCUGUCUCAAUAAUGUGCCGACUAUUAUGAAAUAUUCUAAGAAUAUAACUUAAUAAAUAAGGAUUACAUAAUUGUAUAUUGUUUUCAAUUCCUCUACAAGGCCUUAUUUGUUUUAUGGGCUUCUUUCUAUUAGUGCUUUCAACAACUUAGUAGUUAUUAGUACUAACACAAAGAAAACAUUUGCAUUAGUACUCGUUGGUAUGUAGUUUUAUUUCAUUAACUUAUAUAUCCCUGAGCGCAAUCCCAUUACCAUUAGUACAUAUAUUCUAUUGACCCAAGUUUUUGAAAUGGCUAUCCAUGUGCUAAUGGAAGUGGCCACUUCCACUAUCAUUACGUCAGGCACAUAUCUUACCUUUCAUUAGCAUGUUUAACAAAAAUAUGUUAUGAUUUUCUUGCAUCUUUUUUAGGAUCUUGUGCAGCUAAUCUUGUGUUUAUCACUAAUGAAGAGAUUGAAUUAAGCAAGAUUAUUUUUCAAAGAUUCUUAUAUGGUCGACUUACCUAUAUAUUGAGAUAUGCAAUCCAUAAAGAUAUGAGCUGACCUUAUGAUCUUCUAUAUCCUUAUAUUAAGGAUAAUUGAUUUGAUAAGAUUUGAGUAGAUCAAGAUGGAUUGAAUGUUACCUAAUUUAGAUAGAUUCGUACUUUAAAUAUGGAGGCUUGUUCAACCUUGAUAAAAGUUUAUUGUUAAGAAAGUGUUUUUUAAGUGGUUUUCGAUGUGGCAAUGGAAGUAGUCACCUCGACUAACACAACCACAAGCAACAUAAUUUGUCAUUUUUUAGGUUGUAAAUAUUUUCAAUCAUAUUAGUUAGACAAUGACUUGAAUGAUUUUGUGGAUGUGUGUUGACCCAUAUUUAAAGAUACAUCUUGUGGAGCUACAAAUCUUUGAAGAUUGGAUAAAAUCAAAUUAAGCAAAUCAAAUCCCAUGGAAUAUGGAGAUUGAAUUAGGACUUAUUUGAAUAUUUAUCUUGAAGAUCUUUGAUUUAUUUUAGACUCUUUGAGAAUAUUUGUAUACCUAUUUCAUUUAUUUGAAUCCUUAUUUGAAUACUUAUUUUAUGAGGCUAUUUUAGUUGAUCUUGAUUGUAAUUUAUCUUUAUCAUAGCAAGAGUAAGGAUUCUUUGCUGGGAUGUAUUAGUGUCACUGGUCAAAGUGCAAAGCCCAUGACCAUGGCACAAGAUGCGCCCCAUAGAGGUCUAUCGGUAAGAUGGGGAUUAUUUAGCCCACGAGAACUGACCCGAUUCAAAGAACUGUUGGAGAAGCCUGUCAAAUUGAAGCUUGGUUGGCCCGAUAAUGAAGAUAUGACAACUUAGGCUAAUUUGGAAACUAAUCUUAGAAGAUUUAGGGAAUCUUAUCUUGUAAAUAUUAGAUUAGAUUUGAUAUGGCAUAUCUUGUAAACCCCUAAAAUCAAGGGAUAUGGUUAAUCUCGUCCGUCAAUGUAAAUGCAUCUUGACCUUCAAUUUUGGGGGAGCUCAACUAUAAAUAGAGAGCCUCCCCCUCAUUUGUACUCAUUCUAUUGUAUAUUGAAUUCUUAAGAGAAAUAGAAUUCUGAGAGAGCAUUUACUCAAACACCUUGUGUGUGUUCUUUUAUGUGGCUUUCUGUUGUUUUUUAUGACUUCUUUUGGCAUAAUUCGCUUCCGCUCUUCAACUUGGUGCCUUGGAGGAGUUCUUAAAGAAUCCUCACUUGAGUAAAGGCUGACUUAGGCGAGUUUGGACGAACGGAUCACCUAAGGCCGUACGAAUCGCGAGACAAAAGAUCUAGCCCCGUGACAGUUGGUAUCCGAGCUAUUGGUUCGAACGAAGUGAUAUCUAAGCUAUUGGUUCGAAGGCAUCGUUGAGAUGUCAAAAGAAGUUGUUAGUCAGAGUGAGCCAAUGGAGACCCGAGGAAGGGCCAAAAAAGUGAGUCGAUCGAGGGACUUAUUGUCAGCUUUGGAGGAUCGAGUCGUCACUCUCGAGGAGUCCAUGGGGGACGUCAAGGAGAGGAUCGACGAUGUCGAUAAUAGACUCAAUGAUGGGUUGCGAACAAUGCAAGAGCAGCUCAGGGAAUUUGUGUGGGAUACUAUCGGUUCCUCAGAAAAUAAGCUGAUUGGAAGGACGAUGCUCUCGAGGCUAUGGUGGCAGCUUUGAAGAAGGAGAUCAAUGAGCUUAAAGGGGAGCUCAAGAUUUUUAAGGCUGCCAUAAGUAAAGGAAUGUUGGCUUCAAAGCUGAAGCCACAUGCGAUGGAUGUGCCCAAACCGAAAGUGUUUAAAGGGGCAAGGUACACAAGUGAAGUGGACAACUUUCUUUGGACCAUGGAGCAAUACUUUUGUAUGAUGAACAUCGAGGAUGGUGCCACAAAGGUAAAUAUUAUUGCUAUGUAUUUUACUGAUGUUGCUUUGUUAUGGUGGCGACGUAGGUCCACUGAUGUGAGACAUGGUAGGACUGGGAUUGGAACUUGGAAGGAGUUUCAAAAGGAAUUUAAAGCACAGUUUUACCCCAAGUAUGCCGAGAAUGAAGCUCGAACAAAGUUGCAACGGCUUACGCAACAAGGCAUGGUUAGGGAGUAUGAGUGGGAGUUCAGUGAACUCAUGCUCCAGAUCUCUGAUUUGAGUGAGAAUUACGUAUUUUUCUCCUUUACGGAUGGGUUGAAACCAUGGACGAAGCAAGAAUUGCAGCGUCAAAAAGUUCAGGAACUUACCAAUGCCAUGAUGGUAGCGGAGUCCAUAGUGCAACUUGUUCCGAGAAGAGGCAGGUUUUUGAAUCUUCCAAGCCUAACAGGAGGGGCAAUGGUGGGUACCAUGAGGAAGAUUAAGAGGGACAUAGCUAUUAUGGCAACGGUAGUAGUAGCGACGGGGAUAAUAGGAAACCACGAAAUAAAUAGUGGAGACCUAAUAGCCCGAAAGAAAAUAUGAGAAAGUUAUUAUGCUACUUUUGUAAGGGACUGCACAUAAAGAGGGACUGCCCAAAGGUAUCUUCAGUUUCGGCUAUCAAGAGGAAUGAUGAGCCGGAAGAGGCGAAGCCUAUUGAGAAAAAGACAUCAACGGUUAAUUCGAUGGUGCUCAUUCCAAAGAAAUGAAUGGUGGAGAAGGGUUGAUAUUUGUAGACAUUAACAUUACAGGUCAAAAGAGGAGUGCUCUUGUCGACACAGGAGCAUCAGACUUGUUCAUAUCGAAAAAGGCUGCAGGGAAAAUUGGUCUCUCGAUUAAGAAAUUGAAUAGAAAUAUCAAGAAGAUAAAUUCUGAAGAGACCCCAACUGUGGGAGUAGUUCGUGAUGUGGAACUACAAAUCAGUGAAUGGAAGGGCAAGGAAGAAUUCGAGGUAAUCCAAUUAGAUGAUUACGAUUAUAUGCUUGGCUUAAACUUCCUUGACAGGAUUCAGACAUCUCUGCAUCCAUGGGCUGAUCAAAUUCAUAUUGUCAUCGAUCCGUUAUCAAAAAUUGUUGUGUCGGUGCAUCGAGAUAUGAAGGUAGGGACAAAAGUGUUGUCGUCGAUCCAACUAGUCGAGGAUGUUUCGUAUGGAAGGAACAUUGACUCGAUAUAAUGGAAUGCUACGAAAGCCCCUUCGGAAGUGUUAGUGGCACAAGAGAUCGAUAUGAAGCCUACGAAAGCACCUUUGGGAAAGGUGGGUUUUGCACCAGGCUUCUAAGGAAAAGGAGCGAUGCAAAAUCAGUCGGGACGAGUAAAUGCUGCAAGUAAGGUACAUUGCGAACACUUUGAUAGUGUUUUGAGUUCUAACUUGUUAGCUUGGCAAGGUCGUAGGGGCCCUUUCAAAGUUCAUAAGCAAUGAGACCAAGGGACUGUGGGCAAUACGAAGCGAAGGUGUGAGAAUCAAGGCAAUUCAAAAGAAAACAAGUCAAAAUUGGGGCAAGUUAUAACGGAGACUUCUUGCCAACGAGAUGUACCAACGAGUGUAACGGUUCAAGUUAAGAAGCGACGAAAAUCGAGGAAAAAGUUUUAGAAAAAGGGACAACCCGAUCGCAAGGCAAGUCAGGAAGAAGCCAAGGCAACGAGAGGGUUCAAAGGUGAAUCAAGUUAAUGCCAUUCGGAAGUCGCAACGAGGAUGUUGCGAGAAUGGGUGGGGGAGAAUGUCACAAGUAAAAGUGCAAAGCCCAUGACCAUGACACAAGAUGCGCCCCAUGGAGGUCUAUCGAUAAGAUAGGGAUCAUUUAGCCCACGAAAACUGGCCCGAGUCAAAGAACUGUUGGAGAAGCCUGUCAGAUUGAAGCUUGGUUGUCCCGAUAAUGAAGAUAUGACAACUUAGGCUAAUUUGGAAACUAAUCUUAGAAGAUUGAGGGAAUCAUAUCUUGUAAAGAUUAGAUUAAAUUUGAUAUGGCAUAUCUUGUAAAUCCCUAAAAUCAAGGGAUACGGUUAAUCUCGUCCGUCGAUGUAAAUGUAUCUUGACCGUCGGUUUUGAGAGAGCUCAACUAUAAAUAGAGAGCCUUCCCCUCAUUUAUACUCAUUCCAUUGUAUAUUGAAUUCUUAAGAGAAAUAGAAUUCUGCGAGAGCAUUUACUCAAACACCUUGUAUGUGUUCUUUUUUGUGGCUUUCUGUUGUUCUUUGCGACUUCUUUUGGCAUAAAUCGCUUCUGCUUUUCAACUUGGUGCCUUGGAGGAGUUCUUAAAUAAUCCUCACUUGAGUAAAGGCUGACUUAGGCGAGUUUGGACGAACGGAUCACCUAAGGCCGCAUGGAUCGCAAGACGAAAGAUUUAGUCCCGUGACAUUAGAACUAGGUUCAUUGGUUGUAUUUAUUUUAAAAAUAAUUAAUUCUUCUCAUUGAACUAGGUUCCACAAAUGUAAAAAAACCAAAUUGUAUAAUCAAUUUGACAUCUAUUUUAUUAUGCUUGUUUGAUCAAAAAUACCCACUUCCACGAACACUUAUGCUUAUAUUCUAUUUCUUGCAAUUGUUGACCUGAACUCAGGUCACCAUAUUCUUUCAAAAACAAAUGUUGAAUUGUAAGGCUUUCGUAGAGACAAGAUAGGGAAAUGUUAGAGUUAAAAGAAGCUAAAAAUAAAAGUCGAAUAAACAUAUUCAUGGCUCAUGCAGACAAGUUUUUGUUGGAACAUAUACAGCUUAACUGUCAGCAAUAAAUUAACAUGGUACUUAUACAAAGGUACAAACACAAAAUCUUAAUGAAACCUAAUUAAUUUAGUGGAAGGUAGGUUCCGAUUCUUCCAAUUCAAUCCCUUCAUCAGCAAGCCUCUUAUCCUUAUACACAUACCAUUUAGCAAAAACCAGAUAAAUUGCCAAAUUUAAACCACAUAGAAUUGCCAAAAGCCAAUAGAAAUCGUAGAGUCUCCCUUGGUUCAAAUUGUCUGGCAGCCAUGGAUGCUUGUUUCCAGUGACCUUGUCAACUAUAGUUACCAACAAAGAACUAAGGAAAAACCCUAAUGAAAGGGUACUCAAAAAUAAACCCGUACUCAUUGUUUUCAUCCCUUUUGGACACUCCCUUAAGAAAAAAUCAAGUUGACCUAUGUAUGUAAAGGCUUCACCAGCCCCUACAAACAGAAACUGAGGGACCAACCAAAAGACACUUAAUGGGAUUUGAGCGGUGGGGUUAUUCGUAAGCCCGUUCGUGGUUGCCACUCUCAUCCGCUUUAUCUCGAUCAAUGCUGCUGCUACCAUUGCUAUAAUGGAUAACACCAAGCCAACAGCGAUCCUUUGUAAAGGGGUUAAGCCCUGUGGGUUUUUGAGUACUUUUCUAGCGAUUGGGACGAUGAGCCUAUCGUAAAUUGGGACUGUUAAGAGAAUGGCUCCCACGAAGAACACCGUGAGUGAUGCUGGUGGGAUUUGAAAUUUACCUAUAUGACGGUCCAUGGUUGUGGCUUGAGACACUGAAAACGUUGACAUUUGGGCAUAAACGGUCCAAAAUAUGAUAGUGGUUGCCCAUAUAGGUAACAUUCUUAGCACCAAUUUCACUUCUUCAACAUCUGUUAAAGUAGCUAAGUUCCAUUUAUUUGCCUUAAUCACAGAUGGGUCCUUGAUAGCUGCCCUAUCCAA
rnacentral:lncRNA from 1 species